rnacentral:lncRNA from 1 species
CUCAGACAAGUACAUUUUUGAAAGAGCUCAUGCCUCCUAACAUUAUUCUUGUUCAUGGAGAAGCCAAUGAAAUGGGAAGGCUCAAACAGAAACUUAUCACAGAGUUUGCUGAUGGCAAUACCAAGAUAAUCACCCCAAAGAAUUGCCAGUCUGUUGAGAUGUAUUUCAACUCUGAAAAAAUGGCAAAAACCAUUGGAAAGCUGGCUGAAAGGACCCCGGAUGUUGGUGAAACUGUCAGUGGUAUACUGGUGAAGAAGGGCUUCACUUAUCAAAUCAUGGCACCUGGAGAUCUCCAUGUCUUCUCACAACUAUCAACUGGAAAUAUUACUCAGAGGAUUACCAUUCCUUUUUCCGGUGCAUUUGGUGUGAUAAAGCACAGGCUUGAGCAGAUUUAUGAGAGUGUGGAGUCUGGAACUGACGAGGAGUCUGGGUUUCCAACAUUGCAAGUGCAUGAGCUGGUAACAGUGAAACAAGAGUCUGAUAGACAUAUUUCACUUCAUUGGACUGCUGACCCCAUAAGUGAUAUGGUGUCUGAUUCAAUUGUAGCUUUGGUUUUGAACAUCAGCCGGGAGGUUCCUAAGGUAAUUGUCGAGUCAGAGGACAUAAAAUCUGAGGAAGAAAAUGAGAAAAAAGCAGAGAAAGUGAUUUAUGCCCUCCUUGUUUCACUUUUUGGAGAUGUGAAACUUGGAGAGAACGGGAAGCUGGUCUUACGUGUUGAUGGGAAUGUGGCAGAGCUUGACAAACAGAGUGGGGAUGUUGAGAGUGAGAAUGAAGGUCUCAAGGAACGAGUUAGGACAGCAUUUAGGCGAAUACGAAGUGCUGUGAGGCCAAUCCCGCUCCCGCUCCCUGCACCUGCAUCUUAGCUUUUCUCUUUCCUUUUCCUUCUUGUUUCAACAUGUUUCUGACCUUCGAGAAUAGAUUUUGUUUCUAUUGAGCACUAAUUUCUAAUUUAUCCUCUGUUUCCGUAGUAAUUUUAUGUUUGAAUGCAUCCUGCCUUGAGGUUGCCUCUUAUUUUAGUCUCGUGCCUCAAUGAUUUUGCUCAUUGCUGUAGUUUGGACUUAUCCUACCAAGGGAUAGUUCGAUUUCAAAUUAGUGCCUUAAAAAAUCAGUGUCUAAAAAUAUAAUUGAAUAUUUGCUGCAUGCAAGUUGUAAAUAGUCAGAUUUCUAACCCUUUUUUCCAUGCGAGAAUUGCUGUCGUGACUUGAUUGUAAUCUUGAAGUGCAGGACUAAUUGCUAGUUCAGUUGAUUUUAUUCUUGAAAUGCAGGAUUAAUUGCUUGUUCAGUCAGAUUAUAAAUCCGCGCUUCAAAAAAAUCAGUUUCUAAUAAUAUGAUUGAAUGUUGGUUGCAUACAAGUUGUAAAUAGUCAAAUUUGUAACCAUUGUUUCCAUGCGAGUGUUGCUAUCAUUACUUGAUUUAAUUCUUGAAGUUCAAUUGACCGUUUAAUUUAUGGGAUUGAUUGCAAUCAUAGUUAUUAAACCCGGUUCGGGAGUUGACUCGGCCAAAGAGCCGGGUCCCGGGUUUUAUGGGUUGACCCGGGUUAACCCAGGUCAACCCAUAAAACCCAUGUUAUUUAUGGGGUCAGGUGAUUAAAGAAAGAAAUGGAAAAGGAAAGCAAUUAUAAAGAGGUGAAGUGGGACCCAAUGUGGCAGGGCAUAGGCAUGGGAGAGGGUGACGUUAUUGGUUGUUGGUUGUUUUGUGCAGAGAUCUCUUAAUCUCAUCACCAUCUCCUCCUACCCUCUCUGGCUCCUUGACAUGCUUUCCCCUGGGGUGAAGCACAGUCCUUGCUCCUUACGCACCCAUGCUCUAAAGCUUAAAAACACCACACGAAUCCUCUUUCUUUUACAUCUUUUCCCUGCAAAUUCCUCUGGUUUCUACAUGCUUGAAAACAUUAGCUAGAGAGAGAGAGAUAUGUUAAAGACUUGACGGUGAUAAGAAAGCCUGUGAUGCUGGUAUUGUACCUAUUGCCUCACUUUCUCUUGAAAUUGCGAGUUUCGUCCAGUUUAAUCUUCAAUUUUCUUCAGGUUACAGUCAUCAAUCGUCAGGCCAGAAAGAAGAAAUGGAACCCAAUGCCAACCCUCAAGAUCUCCAAACCCAGAUCGACCUGCAAUCAUAUCAAGCGAACCACCUCCAAAACGCCGGGUCUCAUCCGGGUUCGCCCGGGUCAUGGGUCGACCCGCUGGGUCGACCGGGUUUUGCCGGGUUGUUGCACCGGCCGGUCUUUUGACAAACCCGGACCGGUCUAGCCACCGGGUCGACCCGCCGGGCCGGUCCGAGUUUAAUAACUAUGAUUGCAACAUCUUUGGUAAUAGGAAUUUGUGAUUGGGUGAUUUUACCAGAGAGAGAGAAAAAAGCAACACCAUUGACGGUGAAUCAGUGGUGGAGAAGAAACACGUGUUAUCUGGUCAGGUAGGCACCACUUAGAGGAGUCCUUGGAAGCUACUAUAUGGUCAUAUAUCUUGGCUGCGCAUGCUGCCAAAAUUUUCUGGAGCCCCCAUACACCUCUAGUUUAAUAAUUUAAAUAAUAUUAUAUAAUUAGUAAAAAAUGCAACAACUCUUUUCUUAAUUCGAUAAUUAAAAAAAAAAAGAGCAAAAGCAAAAUACAUAAAUAUCAUUGCACAUUUGAAUUUUUUUUUUUUUGUCUUCAAGAGGUAAGUUCAUGAAUUCAUUGUAUAAUUAAAGCUGAAAUGCUAAAAAUACCUCCAAGUGAUAGGUAUAUAUCAUUUUUCUGUAAGGGUAAAAAAACUAUUAUAUUGUGCUAAAAAAUUAUGUGAAGACCAAUCCUCCGUCAAUGAAUUCAGCAAUGCCAAUUGAAUCCCCGUGAAAAUAUAAAACGCCCUCAAAAGCAACAUCUUUAAGUUUUGUGAAGAAGAGCUUAACAUUAUUACAAUCUACAAUCUACAGUGCUAUAAAUCUAAGUCCACGGUUAAAUAUUGAUGCCUUUUAGUUUUUUUUUUGUAAUGAUUUAAUUAUCACAUUCUAUUUUGUAUUUUAUUUUCCUAAGAUUUUGAUAUGAUUUGUAUGAUUUGAUAUUUACGGGGAGGGAUUUAAACUUUCCUAUUUUUAUGGUCAAUCGGAAUAUUAGCUUGCCUUUAAAUAGUUAAAUUUAUGAAUGCAUCCAAUAGUGUGCAUGAUAAUACACACACCUAGAUAAUGUUUUCUCAUGGUUCAAGGUGUCACAUUAUUCCUUUUUUUUUUUUGACAUAGUUAGCUCUAGCAUGAGCAUCAACAAGCUAUAGUGAGCUGGAUUUCUAUCCAAAGAGUUUAAUGAAGAAGAACAGUAACGUAUAGUAUGCUAUCCAAUGGUAGUAAUGAGUUAAAAGAGAGAGAAGAAAGAGGAAGAAAGAGACGAGAGAGGAGGGAGAGAAAGAAACUAAUUUCAUCAUAAUUUUUUCCAGCAAAAAAUGUUGUUACAUAUAAGGUACCGUUGUCUAACAAUACUAUUCCUUUAAUCUAGGCCAACCUGUGGCAACAAUUAUAACUAAUAAAUAAAAAUAAAACGCUACAUUGAAGAUGGGAUAAAUGAAACUUAAAAUAAGGACAAAACAUUGUGUUGAAAUGGGUAAGUGAAAUGCUAUGUUUUCCUUUGUUUUUUUAAUUAAAAUUAUAAUGAUUAUUUUUUUUGAAUCAAUCAACUCUAAUUCCCUUUUUUUUUUUGCGUCUUCUUUUUUCAAUAAUGCACAUAACAAUUUUUCAGUAAUCAAUCAACCCUAACUCUUUUUUUUCGGCAUCUUCUUUCUUCAGUAAUGCACAUAACAAUUCUCCCUUCAUAAAAAUACUUUUGUUCUCAAGGGGAAAUGUUGGAAACCUCAGAGAGAACUCUUCAAGGAACUCCUAUAUGGCUUCAACUGGAGGUGAAUUCUUCCAUAAGAUCAGGACCUGAGUGGUUGCACGAUUGUGAUGCUUCACCAUUCUUCUAUUCAAUAUUGCUUAAGGUUAGGGUGUUAGGCUAUCAUGUAGUUUAGGUAAAUCAUCGUAUAUUCUUUUACACCCCACAUGCUUCUUUAAUUGUGAUACAUGGAAAACUGGGUGAAUUAUGGCAAUAGGAGUAGGCAUAGUUUGUAAGCCAUUGUCCCAAUACGUUCAAUUACCUGAUAUGGACCAUAGAAUUUAGGUGAUAUUUUGUGUGAUUCUCUUGUAAUCACUUACCUCUGUUUGUACAAUUAUAGUUUAAGAUAAACCCCCUUACCUACAACAAACAUCCUUUCAUUUAUUUUUUUGUUAGCCUAUUGGAUCAUCCUAUAUUGUGCCACCUUGAGAUUAGUUUUGAUAGAUUUCAACAUGUUUUUCUUUUAUAUGAGAAGUGCAUCCACAACUUCAAUAUUAGAAUCCUUUAGCAAGUAAAUAAUAUGAAUAGAAGGCAUAUGACCGUAAAGUAUUUCAUAUAGUGUAGAUUUAAUAGAAGUAUGAUAAUGUGUAUUGUACCACUAUUCAACUAAGGAUAACUAUGUGGACCAUUGACUAGGAUUAACACCUAACAUGCACCUCAAGUAGUUUUCUAGGCAUUUAUUGGUUGCUUCUGUUUGCCUAUUAAUCUGGGAUGAUAUGUAGUAAAGAAAUACAAUUCAACCCCUUAUUGGGCAAAUAGAUGCUUCCAAAACUGACUUAGAAACACCGGGUCCCUGUCACUGAUACAACCAUAUUAUUUGAUAGUUUUACCCAUAUUUACCUAGUAUUUUACCUAUGUUUUAUAUAUAAAAUACCUUGAUAUUAUUUGUUUUAUGUUUUGAAGGCACUUUUAGAUGUAAGAUUAAAAAAGAAAUAAAUUGGAGACAAUUCAGAUCAUGUUUCAGCCCGUGUCGAACAUUGACAGAUUGAUCUCCGAUCGAUGUUUUGUGCAGAGCUUGAGCUCUAGAGGUCGAAAUGAAGUGAUUAUAGUGGCAUUAAAAAGAUAACAUCCAUACUUUUAUAUACAUAUAUGGCAAGAAAAAUAAAAAAAGAAAGAGCAUGAAAAUUGCAGUUUUUAAAGACAAAUCUUGCAUUCGGCCAUUUCGACUUGAAUAUCUUGAGUUAGAGAAGUCCAUUUGAUACAAACUCAAUUGUUUUGGAUUUUUGACUCGAAGACCUACUAGCCUACCAAGUUUUAGUAGAAAAAAGAGCUCAUAUGAGGGCGAUAUGAUUUUUUUAAGACGACUCAUAAAUUCUACCAGCAGACAGGUUUUGUGAAAAAACAAGUCCAAUUUACUUCCCAAACGUUCAAACCGACAUCCAAAUAUUUAUUUGGGAAAUUUAACUUCUCUAAGUUCAAAUUCAAAGCUUGAAGAUUUUAUGCAAGACUAUUUCUUUUUUUUUUAUAUAGAAAAAUAGUUAUUGCAUUACUUAAAUGUAAAUUGUCUACUUAGAAAAUAAUUAUUUUAUAGGGAAGUAGGGAUUAGAGUUUCCUAUCAAAUAAAAAAAAAGAGAGAAAGGAAGGGAGGGGCGACCAAAAAGAGAAGAAAAACUCCACCCUUUCCUUCUAUACCUGAAAUCAUGUAUUCAUCUUUUCUCUUAAUUAUUUUUUGAUAGAUAUGUAAGGUUAAGUUCUUUUUCUUAGUUGCAAGGACAUAAAAACCUUCGGAUUUCAAGAAUUGUGAGAUCUAUUUUACAUUUUCUUUCCAGUUUAUAUGAUGAGUAUGCUUGUUUUUCUAUGCUUAUUUCCUAUAAUUGCUUAGUUUGAUUAUUAGAGCGAACUCUAAGUUAUUAUUCUAACGAAUCUAUUGCUAAAUUUGCUAUUAAAACUGGAGUUAUGAUAUCUAAAUUUAUGAAGCAACUAAGUUUAAUAAUUUUGAAAAAUCUAUGUUAUUAAUCUUAGAAAAAAUAUUCGAUCAAAUCAAACAUAGACUACAGACAGUUAUGUUGUCUAGAUUUAUCAACCUAUCUAGUUCUUAAGGUUGCCAUUGAAUUAAAUUACUAGUGCGGACACUGUGGUGAUUUAAUGGUUAUGGUUAGUUACACUGCAGACCGGUUAACUAACUAAUGUUAAGAAAAGAUAAAUAUUCAGAAUAUAAAUUGACGUAUCGUUUCAAUGAUCAGUUUUUAUUUAUGUAGAUAGACGUUUACUUGAGACCAAUGUUUUCUCUCUUGAUAAGUUUAAGAUUCAUUUAAUUUAGCUUGAUUGUUUUAUUCAGUUUACCAUAGCAUGACCUAUAUAACCUCACCCCCUCCCAAUUUCAUAUCAUCUAGCAUAAAAACCUGAAAUAGAUCUUCCGCGUGGGAUCAAUCGUUUACUUGCUCUAUAAUAUCUUGUUUAUUUAAGCUAGGGUAAUUAAUUUGUGUGACCGCGAUAUCGUAACAGUCAAAUCAUAGAUGAAAACCCAUGUAAUUUAUACACAUUUUCAUGAAAAGAGUAGCCACAAUAACAACAAAAUGAGGGUGUGUGCUAUGGCUAUGAAAUGAACACACUUACCAAAUCUAUCCACCAUCACAUAAAUAACAUCCUUACCAUUAGACUUAAGGAGGCCUUCAAUAAAAUCCAUGUUUAUGUCAUUAAAAGGAGCUUGUGGAAUAGGAAGGGGUUGCAGUAAUAUUAGGCUGAGGACAUUCUUUGUUUUGUUCCUUUGGCAUACACUGCAUUCCUUCAUAUACUGCCUGAUGUGUUUAUGUUGCCUUUCCCAAUAAAAUAAACUCCCAACUCUUUUAACAGUAGCACUAACCCUAGAGUGACCCCUUAUAGAUGAAUCACAAUAGAUGUCAAUAAGUUUUUUUUGUAGCCCAAGAUCAUAACUAACUACUAUUUUACCUUUCAUGUUUAGGUGUCCAUUCUCCUAUUUAUAGUAAGGGUGAGAGUUGAGAUCCUUACAUAUAUCCUGAAUGAUCUCUUGUGUAUUUCUAUCCUUUUUUUAUGAUGCUUUAAUCUGAUUGAUUAGGGUGGUAAAAAAUGAUAAUACUGCUAUAGUAAACAUUUAUUCUUUAAGAUUCCUAGAUAAGGUAUCAGAAUCAAAGUUAUCUUUGCUCUUAUUGUAUUCAAUUUCAAAAUCCAAGCCCAAUAGUUUGGAAAUCUAUAAGUGUUGAGAAGGGAAUGUGAUCUUUUGUUCUAUUAGAUACUUCAAACUGACAUCAUCUAUUCGAACCUUGAAAUUCCUGCCCCAUAGGUAGUGUCUCUAUUUAAAGAUUGCAUAAAGUAUAGCCAUCAUUUCUUUUUUGUAGGUAGACAGAAUUUGUUGUCUUAAACCCAGAGAUUUGCUAAUGUAGUUGAAUAAUGUCCUUCUUGCAUCAACACUACCCCAAUUCCACUUCCCGAAGCAUCUGUUUCUAUAACAAACACCUUGUUUAAGUAAGGCAAGGCCAAGACUGGAGGCUGAUUCAUUAACUCUUUUAGCUUCUUAAAAGCUUUUAUGUUCUACAUAAAUGCAUCAUUCCUUAUCAACUGUGUCAAUGGUUUAUAAAUUAACCUAUAACCCUUGACAAAUUUCUUGUAAUAGCCAACAAGGACAAGAAAACUACGCAAUUGCUUGAUAUUUCAAGGUUCAGGCUAAUCAACUAUUGUCUUGAUCUUUUAGGGUCAGUAAAAAAUCCAUCUUUAGUUAUUAUAAAUCAUAAAUUUUAUUAGGUACUUCUUGAAUACUUGAUUCAUCAAACUUUGUAGUAGGGACAUUACCAGAAACUCAUAAUAUCUAUUAUGAGUCUUGAAUGCUAUUUUAAAAACAUCUUAUCUUACCAUUCUAACCUAAUAAUAACCAGAUCUCAUAUCCACCUUGGAAAACACUAUUAUACCAACCGACUCUUCUAAUAGUUCAUCUACUAAGAGUAUAAGGAGCUUGUCCUUAAUGGUUAGUUUAUUAAGGUUCUAUAUGUAAGGCCCGACCCACUCCCCCUUGCAGAAUAUUGUCCGCUAUGGCUCAGCCCAACCCGGCUUUCACGCCUCACGGUUUUGUUCCUGGCAGCCCACAGGCCCAAAAACGCGUCCUACAAGGUUAGGUACCAACUGCCUUAAUAUGCCAUGGCUCUAGACACUCUUCUUUCGAUGUGGGAUGUUACACUAUAGUUAACACAAAGCCUUUAUGAACCAUUCUUUUUCUUAACCAAGAUCACUAGAGAAGCAAAUGGAUGGUUGCUAGGCUAAAUAAUUCCUGAUUCCAAUACAAACCUCUUUUCCAUGUUAUUUUAAUUCUUUUUUUUUUUUAAUUUUUUGACUACUAUUUUUUUGUGUUAUUUUACUCUGUCCAUUUGGUAAAAGAGAGAAAAAAGAAAUAAAAGAAAAAGAAAAAAGAAAGCACUCUCUAACACAUUUUAGGUAGUCACCGUCCACCAAAACGUCUCCUCCAGCCUCCUUCCCUUCCAGAAGCCGGAAUCACGACCGCGCCACCAGUAACCGCAACUGCUGCAACCGAUGACAUGUGCUCUAAACGAGCCAAGGAUAUCUUGUCCAUAGAAGCACAACAACGUGAAGCUAUAAUGGGUUUGAAAGACGCAAAAGAGAGGAGUCGAAGGUCAUAAAAGUAGGAGUUUGGUAUAUACUUGUCUUCUAACAAUACUAAUAUAGGUACAUGUAUAGGUAUGUUAUCUCUCUUUGCUUGCUGCUGCUACUCUUUCUCUUGGUUUAUUUGGGAGAAAUUAAAAAAUAGUUUUCUUUUUCUGAAUCUUACAUGCUAGUAUAAUAAAACAUUUAUAGGUAGAUUAACUGAAUCACUAAUGUGUUUAGUACAAAAUUGUUUUUUUUUUUUUUAUAGAAACCAAACAGACUGCUGUUUUAGGUUAACUUCAGCUGUAAGUUGUGUGACAGGAUGCGUACUUCUUAAAUUGUUCUUUUUAUUUUUUAUUUUUGGAUUAGUAGCUUUGCUCCUUUUUUUUUUCUAUGAGAUGUGGUAAAUUAGAUUUUGCAAGAUUGCAUAUGGCUGACACCAACAUGACCAAAAAGGGUCGCCGAAACUGUACAUGAGAAGGGCGGGUUCAAUGUAGUAGUAGGUCAAGUAUCAAUGAUAAGAACAUAUAAGUUCAUAUGUUAUUAAUGUAGAUUUCCUAAGCGUUUAGUAUUGUGGUAAAGAUUGUUUUUUAAAUUAUGUUUUUAUUGGAAAUGCAUUAAAAUAAUUUUUUUUAAAUUUUUUUAACAUUUAAGUACAUCAAAAUAAUUUUAAAACAAAAAAAAAAUUUAAAAAAAUUUUAAACUUUUUUUAAAAAACAUGGCCUAUGGCGUUGCCAAACACAAAUUUAAAAGAGUGUUUGGGAACGCGGUGCAAACUAUGUUCCCUAAAAAUUCAAAAAAAAUCUUUUUUUUGGUUAAAGAUUAAAUUUUUUUGUGUGUUUUGAAUCAUUUUGAUGCGCUGAUCUCAAUAAUAUUUUUUUUAAAAUUAAAAAAACAUCAUUUUAAUUUAUUUUAACACGAAAAAUAUUUUAAAAAACAACUACAAUCACAAUUCCAAAGAGAUCCGGUUUUUAAAGUCAUCUUAUCUGUUUGAAUCAACCGUGUCUUAUCUCAUCUCUCUCUCUUUCCCCUUUGUCAUGUGACUACUUAGGACUUGAACAUAGGCCGAGCUAACCAUGAUUGGUGUAUUUUAAUUUGAUCCAUUAAUUAAAUCUUCAAGUAAAAGCAAAGAAAACCCCUUGAAACAGUGUCUCUGAUGUAGCGGAACUCCCAUAUCCACCUUAUAAUUUUAAAAAAGUUCGAGCUUGAAGCAUAAUCCCUAUAAACAUUAUAAGCUUUAUAUCAACUUCUGUAAGUUGUAUUCUCUUAUUUUAUAUAAUCAUUACAAAUCAGAAGCUGAGUGGGUUUAGCUGUAUAGGAGUUUUUCUACAGAGACAUAAAUACAGUUUGGUUUUCGGGCAGCUGAAGAACACAAGAAUGGCAUCAACAGGGCAAUCACAGUCACUAAAAAGAAGGGAUGCACCAGUAACAAGAGAAGGAGGGGAUCAGCUAACUCUAACCCCUUUAGGUGCUGGAAAUGAAGUGGGUCGAUCCUGUGUUUACAUGUCAUUUAAAGGCAAGACAGUAUUGGUAUUGCUUCCCUCCCUCCUUCCCUCUAUGCAUUUUGUUGUUUUUCAAUUAUGCCAUUUUAUACUAAUUUACUAUUGGUAAUUCUUGAUCAUGCUGGAUCAAAUUCAAUGAAUGUAUUUUGUUUAUUAAUUUAUGUUUUUGUUGUCGAAUUAUGCCUAUGUUAGUUUGAUUGUGGAAUUCAUCUGGCUUAUUCGGGUAUGGCUGCUUUGCCUUACUUCGAUGAGAUUGACCCUUCCACUAUUGAUGUACUUCUCGUUACACAGUAUGUAUUUCUUCACCUUCUCUUGCUAAGUCUCCUUGCUUGGCUAUUGUAUAUAUGUAUAUUGAUUUUCCAUUCCAUGAGGCAAUAUUUUGUUUCUCACUAUUAGUUUCGUAAAUGCUAGUUUUUUCUCUCACUGAAUGCUCCCUUGAUUUGACCUUGCUUGCUUUUUUGUUUGUUCAUUUUCUUGUCAAAAGAAUACUUUGAAGAGAUAUCUCCUAUGAUGAUGUAGUAAGAUUGCAUGAAAUUUUUAGCUGCGAGAGAUCAACUUGUCCAAGGAAGAACAUGAAAUUGUUUCAGAAUUAGAGAACACUCAGCUCAGAAGUCAGAUAUACAAGUAUUGAGAAAGUUAGUGUUAGGGUAUUUUGGUCUAAUAUUUGGGACGAUUUUAUUGUGACAAUACAAGUUGGGAAGGAGUUUAAAUAUUGUGAGAAAAACCGCAUGAUGCAGUUCCUUAGGUGCUUGAACUUGCAUUAUUAGGGCCAUUUGAUAGGCAGUGGCUAGGUUCCUCAUCAGUAGAAGUUAGCCAAGUCUGUUAUAAUGCUGGACUUGACAAUAAUAUAAAUUGAAACAGUGAAACUUAAACUUGAUGCUUUGUCAACAAGAGAGGGCAGCCUGAACUUUCUUACCUCUAUAAAAAAUUAUCAGUAGUAUUCUUGAUGUGUGCUGGGAACUUUAUACUCUUAACUGGAUCUAUGCAGUUGUAGAGAAGUAUAGAUGUAAUGAGAUGUCUGAUAAAGUUUUGUUGGAAUUUGAAGUGUCAUAGACUCUUGAUAUCUAUAUUUUAAUUAUUCACAUGCUCCUUGUUGCAAGAAGAUGAGUGAUCUUCUAAGAAAUAGGUUAGUGCUCGUGAGGUUUAUUGCUUAUAAUGGGAACCACAAUAGAACAGUGCUGAAAAUGCAUGCAAUUGGGGAGUGAAAGCAAUCCACUUUCCGGCUGAAGAAAUCAUUUAGGAAAAUCUUGAUUAUCUAUGAUAUAUUAUAAUAAUUUUUUUUUUUAAUGUGAUUAAAUAUCAUAAAGUGUUCAACAAGAAAGCAAAACAAUAAAAGAAUAUAAAUUAUUUCUACUAAUUAAUUAUGUUGAAUAUUAAUGUGAUUGCAUAUUAUGCAAUGAUUCAAAAAAUGAAAAUAUUGAAAAAUCAUUGUAUCACAUUGGUUGGGAAAUAAAUAUGCUCCAUUUGCUUGAAUUUCAUUUAAGGUGUCAGGAAACUCUACUUGGUUUCUAUUUUUUUUUUGAGAAUUCUUUCUGUUACAUUAAUGAAGUCAUAAGGGCCUCUUGGAUUUUAUUUUAAACAAAUAAAAUCAAUACUGUGUUUUCUAUAUUUUUUCAAUCAAAAUUUUUAGGCCUCUCUAGUUUUUCAAUCAAAAUUUUUAGGCCUCUCUAGUUUUUUCUCAUCAAUCAUUGGGAGUGAUGCUUUCUUCCUGCAGCUUUCACAAGGUUUGUUUUUUUUACUGAUUUCUACAAAGUUAUUGUGUGUAUCUUUCACUAGGAUCAAUCUAACAUGUUCACUCUUUAUCACUAGGAUCAAUCUAACAUGUUCACUCUUUAUCAGACCACAUUCAGAGGUCGAGUUUUCAUGACUCAUGCAACAAAGGCUAUCUACAAGUUGCUUUUGACUGAUUAUGUAAAAGUGAGCAAGGUUUCAGUGGAAGAUAUGUUGUUUGAUGAGAAAGACAUAAACCGCUCAAUGGAUAAAAUCGAGGUCUGUGUUUAUGAAUUUUUGCAUUCUCUUGUUUACAUCUAUCCGCAUCCUUUUUGUUCUUCCAGAAACUUGAUCCACUUCGUUUACCUUCCUUCUAAGCAAUAGCUUGGAAAAAUUUUUGUUUAUUAUAUUUGGCUUGGCAUUAUGUUGUGGCCCCAAAGUCAGGGGCUCAGGAAUUCAGCUUAUUGGUUAUUCUUCUUUAUCACCUCCUAUCCAUGUUGAAUUAAUUGCUCUAGAUGAAAGGUCUGCGUCUUCUGGAAUUUAAAGUGUUUCAAUCUUACAUUUGGUGUUGUGAAUUUUGCUGUCUAUGGAUUUCUUAGCUUUCAUUCUGUUUGAGUUUGGCAUUGUUAGUUGUUGGCUUCUCAUUUGAGGUUUGCAUGUUUCGCUUGGAAACUUAGGACCAAUUUAUAUGCAUCUGAUAAUUAAGUUAUGCCUUUCUUUUUCCAGUAGUGAUCAAUCUAAGUUGAUUCCACACUUAAGUUGCAUUUGGAAUACUCUAUUGCCUGAUUAAUCAAAGAGCAUAUUCAAGUAGUUGUGGUUGACAGCCAUGUAUCUUUUUUGAACUAUGAGAGUUUGGGUCAUAUUACAGCGAGUGCCAUCUCACUCUCUAUCUUCCUGCACAUGUAAGAUUUUAGUGAUUAGUAAUAAGAUAACAGUAAUUCAACAACAAAAAAAAAAAGAUAAAGAUAAAGAUAAAGGAAAAUUUUAUAAGCCAAGUGGGAACCUUCUGGUAGGCAUACAGGGCCCCUGCCCUAGUACAGUUAAGCAGAAAGGUUUGGUAACAACUGGAUGAAAAUUUAUUUAUUUUUUCCCUUGUUUGUUCGAAGAAAGGGUGCUUGUUCCAAAAUGGUAGUUGCUUAUCUUUUUCUCAAUAUAGCAUCUCUUUUGGUAAGCAUUAUGCUAUGCUUGCCAUUUUAAGUUGAUAAAUCUGUCCGUGACCGAUCCAUAUGAGGUAAUGUUUGGGCUGAUUAAAAGAUGUUUUCACAAUUAUGAAAUAAUAAUAAAAAGUAUUUAAGUUUUGGUAGCAUUCUGAAAAUACAAUCCUAUGGAGCCAAUUCAAAGCGAGGAUUUCUUUUUUCUUUUGAUUUUAUUUCCAUCCUGUAGCACAAUCAUGAUCCAUGAGUGCAAGUGGUCAAAACCAUUGAGAGAUUGCAGAGGGAAAGAGAGGAUAUCACUUUUAUAUAUUUUUCUUUUCAUACAUGGACUGUUAAUUCUAAUCCCUGACACUUUUGUCAAGGUUGGGUGCAUGUGUUUGCAUUUUUGUCUUUUUUUGUGAGCAGAUCUGCUGGUGUUUGCCAGGUCUUAUUUUCCUUAUGAUGGCCUAGCUUGUAAUCUUCCUUUGUCAUCCUCUGUUUAACUUAAGAAUCCUUAAUUUCAUUAAUGAUUUUUGUAAUUGCAGGUUAUUGACUUCCAUCAGACUGUGGAUGUUAAUGGCAUUAAAUUUUGGUGCUACACUGCUGGCCAUGUCCUUGGGGCUGCCAUGUUCAUGGUAGAUAUUGCCGGUGUUCGAGUGCUGUAUACUGGAGACUAUUCGCGUGAAGAAGAUCGGCAUCUUCGUGCUGCUGAGAUGCCACAAUUCUCUCCAGACAUAUGCAUAAUUGAAUCUACCUAUGGUGUCCAACUCCAUCAACCUCGACACAUUCGGGAGAAGCGCUUCACUGAUGUUAUCCACUCCACCAUCUCUCUAGGUGGUCGUGUUCUAAUUCCAGCAUUUGCCCUUGGCCGAGCUCAAGAACUCCUUUUGAUCCUUGAUGAGUAUUGGUCAAACCAUCCCGAGCUUCAUAACAUUCCCGUAUAUUAUGCUUCUCCCCUUGCGAAAAAGUGUAUGACUGUUUACCAGACAUACAUCCUUUCUAUGAAUGAAAGGAUCCGCAAUCAGUUUGCGGAUUCAAACCCCUUCAAAUUCAAGCAUAUAUCACCGUUAAAUAGCAUUGAAGAUUUUACUGAUGUAGGGCCAUCUGUGGUUAUGGCAACUCCUGGAGGACUGCAGAGCGGUUUGUCAAGGCAGUUGUUUGAUAUGUGGUGCUCUGAUAAGAAAAAUGCUUGUGUUAUACCUGGAUUUCUUGUUGAAGGGACCUUAGCUAAGACAAUCAUUAAUGAACCAAAGGAGGUACAGCUCAUGAAUGGACUGACUGCACCACUCAACAUGCAGGUCCAUUACAUCUCGUUCUCUGCCCAUGCAGAUUAUGCUCAGACAAGUACAUUUUUGAAAGAGCUCAUGCCUCCUAACAUUAUUCUUGUUCAUGGAGAAGCCAAUGAAAUGGGAAGGCUCAAACAGAAACUUAUCACAGAGUUUACUGACGGCAACACCAAGAUAAUCACCCCAAAGAAUUGCCAGUCUGUUGAGAUGUAUUUCAACUCUGAAAAAAUGGCAAAAACCACUGGAAAGCUGGCUGAAAGGACCCCGGAUGUUGGUGAAACUGUCAGUGGUAUACUGGUGAAGAAGGGCUUCACUUAUCAAAUCAUGGCACCUGAAGAUCUCCAUGUCUUCUCACAACUAUCAACUGGAAAUAUUACUCAGAGGAUUACCAUUCCUUUUUCCGGUGCAUUUGGUGUGAUAAAGCACAGGCUUGAGCAGAUUUAUGAGAGUGUGGAGUCUGGAACUGACGAGGAGUCUGGGUCUCCAACAUUGCAAGUGCAUGAGCUGGUAACAGUGAAACAAGAAUCUGAUAGACAUAUUUCACUUCAUUGGACUGCUGACCCCAUAAGUGAUAUGGUGUCUGAUUCAAUUGUAGCUUUGGUUUUGAACAUCAGCCGGGAGGUUCCUAAGGUAAUUGUCGAGUCAGAGGACAUAAAAUCUGAGGAAGAAAAUGAGAAAAAAGCAGAGAAAGUGAUUUAUGCCUUCCUUGUUUCACUUUUUGGAGAUGUGAAACUUGGAGAGAACGGGAAACUGGUCAUAAGUGUUGAUGGGAAUGUAGCAGAGCUUGACAAACAGAGUGGGGAUGUUGAGAGUGAGAAUGAAGGUCUCAAGGAACGAGUUAGGACAGCAUUUAGGCGAAUUCAAAGUGCUGUGAGGCCAAUCCCGCUCCCUGCAUCUUAGCUUCUCUCUUUCCUUUUCCUUGUUGUUUCAAAAUGUUUCUGACCUUCGAGAAUAGAUUUUGUUUCCGUAGUAAUUUUAUGUUUGAAUGCAUCCUGCCUUGAGGUUGCCUCUUAUUUUAGUCUCGUGCCUUAAUGAUUUUGCUCAUUGCUGUAGUUUGGACUUAUCCUACCAAGGGAUAGUUAGAUUUCAAAUUAGUGCUUUAAAAAAUCAGUUUCUAAAAAUAUAAUUGAAUAUUUGCUGCAUGCAAGUUGUAAAUAGUCAGAUUUCUAACCUUUUUUUCUAUGUGAGAAUUGCUGUCGUGACAUGAUUUUAUUCUUGAAAUGCAGGAUUAAUUGCUAGUUCAGUCAGAUUCUAAAUCUGCGCUUCAAAAAAAUCAGUUUCUAAUAUUAUUCUAUGUGAGAAUUGCUGUCGUGCAUGCUGGUUGCCUAUAAGUUGUAAAUAGUCAGAUUUGUAACCAUUGUUUCCAUGCGAGUGUUGCUUUCAUGACUUUAUUUUAUUCUCAAAGUUCAAUUGACGGUUUAAAUUAUGGGAUUGAUUGCUACAUCUCUGGUAAUAGGAAUCUGUGAUUGGGUUAUUUUACCAGCUUAGAUGAGAGAGAAAAGGAGAGAGAGAGAGAGAAAGCAACGCCAUUGACGGUAAAUCAGAGGUGGAAAAGAAACAAGCGAUACAUGGUCGAGUAGGUACCGACUAAAGGAGUCCAUCGCCCCAUUGGAAGCCACUAUUUGGUCAUGUAUUUUGACCGGGCACGUUGCCAAAAAUUUUCUGGAGCCUCCACGCACCUCCAUUUCAAUAAUUUAAAUAAUAUUAUAAAAUUAGUAAAAGAUGCAACAACUUCUUUCUCAAAUCGAUAAUUACCCAAAAAAACCAAAAAAAAAAAUACAUAAUUGUUAUUGCACACCUUAUUCUUUUUUCUUUUUCUUUUUUGUCUUCAAGAGGUAAGUUCAUGAAUUCAUUAUAUAAUUAAAGCUGAAACGCUACAAAUACUUCCAAGUAAUAGGUAUAUAUCAUUUUUCUGUAAGGAUAAAAAAACCAUUACAUUGUGCUAAAAAAUUAUGUGAAGACCAAUCCUCCCUUGAUGAAUUCAGCAAUAUAAAACACUCUCAAAAGCAACAUUAAGUUUUGUGAAGAAGAGCUUAGACAUCAUAACAAUGUUCCAAUCUAUAAUGCUAUGAGUCUAAUGGCCAAGUUAAAGAUUGAAGCCUUUUAGUUUUUUUUUUUAAUGAUUUGAUUAUCGCGUUCUAUGUUGUAUUUUGUUUUCCUAAGAUUUUGAUAAUGGUUUAUAUGAUUUGAUAUUUACAGGGAGGGAUUCAAACUUUUGCAUGCUAAGAAUCCUAUUUUUAUGGUUAAUCGGAACUGUAGCUUGCCUUUGAAUAGUUAAAUUUAUAAAUGCAUCCAGUAGUGUGCAUGAUAAUACACACACCCACGUAACAUUUUCUCAUUGGUUCAAGGUGUCAUAUUAUUCCUUUUUUCCGACAUAUGUAGCCCUAACAUGAGCAUCAACAAGCUGUAGUGAAUUGGAUUUCCACAGCACUUACUUGAAGAGCAUUCAGAGGAAGAACAAUAUCGUAUAGUAUGCUAUCCAUUGGCAGUAAUGAGUUAGAAGAGAGAAGAAGAAAGAGGAAGAAAGAGACGAGAGAGGAGGGAGAGAAAGAAACUAAUUUCAUCAUAAUUUUUUCCAAUAAAAAAUGUUGUUAUAUAUAAGGUACUGUUGUCUAACAGUACUAUUCCUUUAAUCUAGGCCAACUCGUGGCAACUAUUAUAACUAAUAAAUAAAAAUAAAACACUACGUUGAAGAUGAGAUAAUGAAACUUAAAAUAAGAACAAAACAUUCUGUUGAAGUGGCUAAGUGAAAUGUUGUGUUUUCCCUUGUCUUUCUAAUUAAAAUUGUAAUGAUUAUCUUUUUGAAUCAAUCAACCCUAACUCCUUUUUUUUUUUUUUACAUCUUUUUUCUUGAGUAAUGCACAUAACAAUUCUGCCUCCAUAAAAAUACCUUUUUUAUAUUGGAAACCUUAGAGAGAACUCUUUAAGGAACUCCUAUGUGGCUUCAACUGGAGGUGAAUUCUUUUAUAAGAUUAGGACCUGAGUGGUUGCACGAUUGUGAUGCUUCACCAUUCUUCUAUUCAAUAUUGCUUGAGGUUAAGGUGUUAGGAUAACAUGCAGUUUAGGUAUAUCUUCAUAUACUCUUUUACACCUCACAUGCUUCUUUAAUUGUGAUACAUGAAAAACUAGGUGGAUUGCGGCAAUAGGGGUAGGCAUAGCUUGUAAGCCAUUGUCCUAAUAUGUUCAAUUACCUGAUAUGGACUAUAGAAUUUAUGUGAUAGUUUGUGUGAUUCUUUUGUAACCACUGACCUCUGUCUGUACAAUUGUAGUUUAAUAUAAACCCAAUUUCCCAUAACAAACACCCUUUUAUUUAUUUUCUUGUUAGCCUGUUGGAUCAUCCUAUGUUGUGCCACCUUGAGAUUAGUUUUGAUAGAUUUCAACAUGUUUUCCAUUUAUAUGAGAAAUGCAUCCACAACUUCAAUAUUAGAAUCCUUUAGCAAGUAAAGAAUAUGAAUAGAAAGCAUAUGACCGUAAAGUAUUUCAUAUAGUGUAGAUUUAAUAAAAGCAUGAAUAGAAGGAUAACUAUUUGGACCAUUGACUAGGAUUAGCACCUAACAUGCACCUCAAGUAGUUUUUAGGCAUUUAUUGAUUGCUUCUGUUUGCCUAUUAGUCUGGGGAUGCUAGGUAGUAAAUAAAUGCAAUUCAACCUCUUAUUAGGCAAAAUGGCAAAUAGAUGCUUCCAAAACUGACUUAGAAACACCGGGUUCCUGUCACUAAUGCAACCAUAUUAUUCGAUAGUUGUACUCAUAUUUGCCUAGUAUUUUGCCUAAGUUUUAUAUAUAAAAUGCAUUGAUAUUCUUUGUUUUAUGUUUUAAAGGCACUUUUGGAUGUAAGAUUCAAAAAGAAGUAAAUUGGAGACAAUUCAGACCAUGUUCCAGCCAUGUCAAACAUUGACAAAUUUGACCUUCGAUCAAUAUUUUGUGUAGAGCUUGAGCUUUAGAGGUAAAAAUAAAGUGAUUCUAGUAGCAUUAGAAAGAUAAUAUCCAUACUUUUCCAUACAUAUAUGGCAAGAAAAAUAAAAAAAGAAAGAGCAUGGAAAUCGUAGCCUUCAAAGACAAAUCUCAUGUUUUGUUAGUAUUGACUUUCAGCCAUUUCGACUUGAAUAUCUUGAGUUAGAAAAGUCUAUUUGAUGCAAACUCAAUUGUUUUGGAUUCCUGACUCGAAAACCUAUCAACCUACCAAGUUUCAGAAGAAAAAAAAGCUCAUAUGAGAGAGAUAUGAUUUUUCUAAGAUGACUCACAAAUUCUGCCAACAGACAGGUUUUGAGAAGAAACAAGUCCAAUUUACUUUCCAAACAUCCAAGCUAACAUCAAAGUCUUUAUUUUGGCAAUUUAACUUUUCCAAGUCAAAAGUCAAAGCUUGAAGAUUUUAUGCAAGACUAUUUCUUCUUUUUUUAGAAAAAUAGUUAUUGCACUACUUAAAUGUAAAUUGUCUACUUAGCAAAGGAUUAUUUUGUAGGAAAGUAGGGACUAGGGUUUCCUAUCAAAUAAAAAGAAAGAGAGAAAGGAAGGGAAGGGCGACCAGAAAGAGAAGAAAAACUUCACCCUUUUCUCUUAUACCCAAAAUCAUGUAUUCAUCUUUUCUCUUGAUUAUUUUUUCAUAGACAUGCAAGGCUAAAUUAUUUUUCUUGGCUGGAAGGACACAGAAACCUUUGAAUUUCAAGAACUAUGAGAACUAUUUUAUCUUUUCUUUUCAGUUUAUAUGAUGAGUAUGUUUGUUUUCCUAUGCCUAUUUCCUAUGAUUACUUAGUUUGAUUGUUAGAGCGGAGUCUAAGUUAUUAUUCUAACCAAUCUAUUGCUAGGUUUGCUAUCAAAACCGGAGUUGUGAUAUCUAAACUUGUGAAGCAACUAAGUUUAAUAAUUAUAGCAAAUCUAUGUAAUUAAUCUUAGAAAAAACAUUCGAUCAAAUCAAACAUAGACUGUAAACAGUUAUGUUGUCUAGAUUUAUCAACCUAUCUAGUUCUUAAGGCUGCCAUUGAAUUAAAUUAUUAGUACGGACACUGUGGUUAUUUAAUGGUUAGGAUUAGUUACAUUGCGGAUUGGUUAACUAACUAAUGUUAAGAAAAUAUAAAUAUUCAGAAUAUAAAUUGACAUAUCGUUUCAAUGAUCAAUUUUGAUUUCUGUAGGUGAACGUUUACUUGAGACCAAGAUUUUCUCUCUUGAUAAGUUUCAGAUUUAUUUAAUUUAGCUUGAUUAUUUUAUUUAGUUUACCAUAUCAUAGAUUAGAUAACCUUAAAACCCCCCUAAUUUCAUAUCAUCUAGCAUAAAAACCUGAAUUAGAUCUUCCUCAUGGGAUCGACCCUUUGCUUGCUCUAUAAUAUCUAGUUUAUUUAAGCUAUGGUAAUUAAUUUGUGUGACCAUGAUAUCGCAAUAGUCACUGACAAUCAUAGAUGAAAACCCAUGUAAUUUAUACAUAUUUUUCAUGAAAACAGUAGUUACAAUAACAACAAAAUGGGGGUGUGCUAUGACUAUGAAAUGAACAUACUUACCGAAUAUAUCUAUCAUCGCAUAAAUAACAUUCUUACCAUUAGACUUAAAGAGGCCUUCAAUAAAAUCCAUGCUUAUGUCAUUAAAAUGAGCUUGUGGAACGGGAAAGGGUUGCAGUAAUUAAUAUUAGGCCGAGGAUAUUCUCUGUUUUGUUCCUUUGGUAUACCCUAUAUUCCUUCAUAUACUGCCUAAUGUGUUUAUGUUGCUUUUUCUAAUAAAAUAAACUCCCAACUCUUUUAAUAGUAGCAUUAACCCUAGAGUGACCCCUUAUAGAUGAAUCAUGAUACAUAUCAAUAAGUUUCUUGUGUAGCCUAAGGUUAUAACUAACUACUAUUUUACAUUUUCCUGUUUAGGUGACCAUUCUCCCAUUUAUAGUAAGGAUGAGAGUUGGGAUCCUUAUAUAUAUAUCCUGAAUGAUCUCUUGUGUAUUGUUAUCCUUUUCCCAUGAUGCCUUAAUCUGAUCGAUUAGGGUGGUAGAAACUGAUAAUAUUGUCAUAGUAAACAAUUAUCCCUUAAGAUUCCUAUACAAGGUAUCAAAAUCGGUGUUAUCUUUGCUCUUAUUGUAUUCAAUUUCAAAAUCCAAGCCCAAUAGUUUGGAAAUCCAUAAGUGUUGAGAAAAGAAUGUGAUCUUUUGUUCCAUUAGAUACUUCAAAUUGACAUGAUUUGUUCGAACCUUGAAAUACCUACCUCAUAGGUAGUGUCUCUAUUUAAAGAUUGUAUGAAGUAUAGCCAUCAUUUCCUUUUUUUAGGUAUACAGAAUUUGUUGUCUUAAACCCAGGGAUUUGCUAAUGUAGUCGAAUAAUGUCUUUCUUGCAUUAACACUACCCUAAUUCCUCUUCCCGAAGCAUCUGUUUCUUUAACAAACACCUUGUUUAAGUAAGGUAAGGCCAAGACUGGAGGCUGAGUCAUUAUCUCCUUUAGCUUCUUAAAAGCUUUUAUGUUUUACAUAAAUGCAUCAUUUCUUAUCAAUUGUGUCAAUGGUUUAUAAAUUAACCUAUAACCCUUGAUAAAUUUCAUGUAAUAACCAGUAAGGCCAAGAAAACUAUGCAAUUGUUUGAUAUUUCAAGGUUGAGGCUAGUCAACUAUUAUCUUGAUCUUUUUAGGGACAAUAAAAAAUCAAUCUUCAGUUAUUAUAAAUCCCAAAUACUUUACAUGUUUACUGCCAAAUAUGCACUUACUUUACUUAGCAACUAGUUGAUGCAUUUUCAUCAAUUCAAAUAUUGUCUUUAAAUUUUCUACAUGUGUUUCCAUAUAUUGACUGUAAAUGAACAUGUCAACAAAAAACACUAACAUAAAUUUUCUUAAGUACUUUUUGAUUACUUGAUUCAUCAAACUUUGGAAUGUAGCAGGGGCAUUAAUUUGGCCAAAGUGCAUUACAAGAAACUUAUAGUGUCCAUUGUGAGUCUUGAAUGUUGUUUUAAUAACAUCUUGUCUUACCAUUCUAACCUGAUAAUAACCAGAUUUCAUAUCCACCUUGAAAAACACUAUUGCAUUAACCAACUUUUCUAAUAGCUCAUCUACUAAGGGUAUAAGGAGCUUGUCCUUAAUGGUUAGUUUAUUAGGGGCUCGAUAGUCAACACAAAGCUUUUAUGAACAAUUAUUUUUCUUAACCAAGAUCAUUAAAGAAGCAAAAGGGUUGUUGCUAGGCUAAAUAAUCCUUGAUUCCAAUAUUUCAGCAACCAUUUUCUCCAUUGUAUCCUUUUGUAUUUCAUAAUACUUGUAUGGCCUUAAGUUAAUAGGUUGAGCUCUCUCUUUAAGUGGUAUAGUGUGAUCAUGACCUCUAGUAGGAGGUAACCUCAUUAGUUCAUUGAAUAUCUCUUUGUAGUUUUUUAAUAGAUCUUCUAAGACAACAAUCCUCUCCCCAACAGGAGAUGGUGUGGAUAACAUGGAACACACCAUGUUAUCAACAUCCUCUAGGAUCCUCAAGCUACACAAGCUUACCUCUAUAAAUUCUAAUGGACUAUCAAAUAAGCCACUCAACUGCUCAAACCUAAUAAUCUCUAUAAAUUCUAAUGGACUAUCCAAUAAGCCACUCAACUGCUCAAACCUAAUAAUUUAUAGUUGAGUAACUCUAUCUUCUUUAAGCACCACUUCUUUACCUUGCCAAGUAAAAGACAUUCAUAGCUCUUUGUAAUUGAUAUUAUAUUACCUAACACAACUAGUCAUUGAAAACCAAGAACCAUGUCAUAAUUGUUUAGAUCAACAAUGAAAACAUUUGGCACAAAGUUUUCUCCCUGUAUUUUCCAUUUGAAGUUCUUAUAUAUUAUAGUACAACACAUAGUUCCACCAUUUUUUACCUCAUCUGUUAAAGGUUUAAUUGAUAUCAUGUCAUAUUGUCUUUGUUGAUUCAGUACUUAAGAAAUCAUGAGUACUACCUGAGUCAAUCAGGAUGAACACUAAGUGUUUAUCUCUUCUGCCAUUGACCCUUAAGGUAUGGAAUCCCACUGUUUUUUCCAAUACAUUGAGGGAAAUAAAUAGAGUAAUGGUUUCUGAAUUAUUUUUCUCCACUUCAUUCUUAGCAUCUUCAUUGUCUUUUUUAUUUUCUAUUAUGCACAAUGAAUAUAGUUUCUUGUUUUUACAUUUAAGCCUAAGUGUAAACCUGUCACCACACUAGAAACAUAGGCCCAUGAAUAUGUUGAGUGUUUAUCUUUAUCAUGUGUUCAUAUUUUUUAGCCUGAUCCUUGGUAAUAGAGUAUAGAAAAUCCUCCAUUCAUUUCAGAUAUUGGGAUCAAGUUUUAGAAGACAUUUCAUCAAUCCGAAAACAAGGAACUCUGAUACCACUUGUAGUGAGUUGGAUUUCCACAUCUUCUGCUUGCAAAGUAUCUGAAGAGUUUAGUGAAGAAGAACGUUAAGGUACAAUAUGCUAUCUAAUGGCAACAAUGAGCUAGAAGAGAGAAAAAGAAAGAGGAAGAAAUAGAUGAGAGAGAAGGGAGAGAAAAAAACUAAUUCAUCAUAAUUUUUUCCACUAGUCUCUACAACAAAAAAAUAUUUUUUACAUAUAAGGUACUAUUGUCUAACAAUACUAUUCCUUUAAUCUAGGUCAGCAUGUGGCAAAAAUUAUAACUAGAAAACAAUAAUAAAACACUGUAUUGAAGAUGAGCUAAAUGAAACUUAAAACAAAGACAAAACAUUGUGUUGAGGCGGGUUAGUGAAACACUAUGUUUUCCUUUAUCUUUCUGAUUGAAAUUGUAAUGAUUGUUUUUUUUUAUAUUUUUAUCAAUCAACCCCAACCCCUCUUUUCGUGCAUGUUUUUUCUUCAAUAAUGCACAUAACACAGGCAUGGUAGCACUUCCAUAAAAGUAUGAUUGAUUUUAUAGGAAAAUAGAGAUAGCUCAUCUCUGAUAUGUCAAUAUUGGCCAAGCACCAUAACAUCAAGUCCCAAUGAUCCAUUUCUUAUUACAAAACCAAUCACUUUCAGUUAUUGUCAAAUUUUGGUCUUGCUUGUUUUUCACUACUUUUUUCUUGUAGGAUUAAUGACUUCAGUUGUAACCAAAAUUAUUGUGACAUCUUUUGGUACAUUUUGCUUUUGUAAUGCUUCCCUUCCUAAUUCUCCUCUCUCUACUUUAUAGGCCGUUAAAGGAAAAAAAACAAAUAUAUAAUCAUAAAUGAUGAAGAAUCAAACACCAAAAUUACAAAAAUACAUGGUCAUAUCUAGAACCCUCAAAACUCACUCCUACACUCUACACACUCGCUCCAAGACACUUCUUGUACCUAACAACAUGAUCUCUGAAAAAAAUCUAGAAUCUUUAAUUCAGGAUUGUUCUUAGUGGCUUCUAGCAUUUUACUAAUUUAGUGUUUCUUAUAAUAUUAGUUGUUAGGUUGGUUUUGGUUUUGGUUUAUUAAGAAAAUACACUAAAGUGUGAUAGUAAAAAAUAGCGAUGGUGUGGUGGUUUUAAGGUACCAUUACUUCCUCACCUAACCUAAAAUAGCGUGUUCUCUCAAAAGUGUAAUGUAUUGUGUGUGAAGGCACAAAUCCAUAUCCAAUAUACAUAUGUAUGACAGUUAUGGAAUAAAAUGCAUGCUAAAGUAAAAUGAAAAGGUAAACAAGCAUAAUAUACAAGGAUAAAAAUUAAAGACAAAAGACAAAGUUUAGUCCUAAAUUCUCCAGUAGAGUCACCAUUCUGUCACACCCGACAUUCCAACGACUCGUCGUCUUUCCUAAAAAAGGAAAAGAAUGGUCUCUUAUAUUGAGAUGAGGGAUAAAGUCUAAGAAUAUAUGAAAGGAGUCAUCGCCUAAUAUUAUAGUCACUAGAAAACUCUAACUAGUUUGUAGAGUUCUAAGGCAAGAGACUAGUUAUGUUAAAAAGAAUAUAUUAUCAUCCAAAAGCAUCAUACUUGAGGUAAGUUGCAUUGUUGACCUUGUAUUUUAUUUCUAAGAGUCUAUUGUGCAAAUUCCACUAGUAGUUCAUCUAUAUAGAUGAUAGCUAUUGCAAGUAAACCCUGAUGGAUGCUUAGUGUAAGCCUAACCAUUUUAAAGUCUAGUUCAUUUUUGCAACUCCCCGUUGUUAUCUUUUGAUAACACUUGGUCAAUUAACGUGUUUAAAUUAGUUACUAAUGUUCAUAACCUGCGACUAAUGGUCUAUCAAGUCAUGCUAGUGAAUAACCAAUGGGCAUAUAUUGGGUUCAAUGAACCUAACUCAAAUUCUAGAAAGGGUCGAUGAAUGAUAUUUUAUUAGGGUCAAUCUAUCCUAUAAUACCUAAAUUCACUCGUUAUAUGACUAAAUGAAGGUUUUAUGCUCCAAUCCUAUCCAAACAGUGACUACUAUGAGUUCAUCUAUUUUGGUUAGGAUCUAGUGACAUGAUGGUCCAUUUUUGGACUAGAAUCUUCACAAUGACUUUUUUGGGGUUCAUAUGCCAUUCGGUGUGUUGUUUAACAUUCAACUUUUGAGUUCCAUUUUUGUUUUUGGUUGCCUAUCAUCAAUGUUAGUACAUAGUAAGUGGAAAACCUCAUUCCCAUUGUAUUUAUUAAACAUGUAUUUGUGAAAUUUAUUUAAAAACCAAGACUCCUAUUUGUUUUGGUGAAUAUUAAGUGUAGAGACCUUAAGAUUCAUUUUAUUACCUUAAAAAAAUUAAAAAGUGUUGCUCAUUUUAGGGUCCAAAGCCAUGGCACGUGUAGAGUCUAUGUACCUUGAACACUAAAAUUGAACAACAAAAUAUUUUUGAGAAAAUCCACGGAAGAGCUACUCUCCUUUAAUACUUAAGGUAAUGGCCCACAUGGAUUUCAUUUAUCUAAGAUAUGUAGAGUGAAUAACAAAAAUAAUUUGGAUACAAUUCUUAAAAAUAAAGAUUGGUUACAUAUUCUUUUUUUAAAGUGUUGAAUGUCAGUCCAAUAGGCUUUUUUUUGUGGGUCGAAACUUAAUAGGCUGUAAACUUGUUUCAAGGCCCAAAAUGCAUAAGUGAUUUUGAUGCCUUUUGGAUUGAAAACUAAAAGUAAAUAAUUUGGAACUCUUUACUCAUUUUAGAUAGAUUCAAUUUUUGGAUAAAAGAUUAGUGUUGUAAUAUAUGGAUGAUCAAGGACACACAAAAAAUACAAGAUGCCAACUAAUUUAAAAGUCUUGAUUAAAUGCAGUUUUUUGAAAACAAAGGGAAAAAAAUAAUUUAUAAUUCAUAAUAUUUUCUAGAAAAUAUAUAGAUAUUAUAAAAGACGUAGUUUAGUUGGUUUGGGUUAACUCUAAAAAAUAAGAAAUGCAAAAAUAUAGAUAUCCAUACAAGCCAAGCAUCAUUCAUAACUACUAAAAAGGUAUAUCACCCUAAAUGAGUCCAUAUAGUUUGACCAACUAGGAAAUACAUAGCCAUAACAAGGAAAAAAAAUAAAAGAUGUACUUAGACUCAUAUGAUAAUAAACAUCAAUACCCCCACAUUCAUUAAUAUACACAAGAUAUAAAUUUCUCAACUUCAUCCAGUUCAUAAAUGGUGAACAAACCAAACACAUCAAACAUCAGGCCAUAAUUUUCCCCACAUAAUCCACAAAAAAUGAGCUCUUAGAUUUACAGACUAAUUUAUUAGGCUUAAGACAAGCUAAUAAUUGGUAGGAGCAAUAUAUGCAUUUAAAAGACCAUAUAACAAAAACUCACAAUAACCCAAACAUGCAUUAAAAACACAUAUAUGACCACAUACAUGUCAAAGAACUAAAAGUACAAACAUCAAACGAAAUGAAAUCAAUAAAGACAAAGAGAUAUACCUAGACCAAAGGUUGAUAGUUGAAUGGACAAGGAAAUGAAUACUUAGGUUUCAAAAAAAUAAUCGGAUUUAGGUCUAAAAACUCUAAUAAGACCCAUAGAUUAAUUAAACCAAAUGCCUCAAAAGACCUUAAAACUUGUCUUUAUUUUGAAAUUUUGAAAGAAUCUUUCAAAAGUGCCUCUCAUAAAACAUAUUUCUCUAUAUAAGACCUUUCUAUCUAAUUCUCUCAUUAUUCCUCUUAUACCCUAAAAGAACUCCUAUUAAUAGUAGGGAAUGGGGACUGACUUUACCUAGGGUUUAAGACAAAACCAACCGUAAGAUUACAACAACCAAAUCUGAUCAUUCACAGGAUAUAAUAAAGAAAGAUGUGUAAGGCUAGCUAGGGAAGUAUGAGAUCAAAAUGCUUUAUGCAAACAACCUAAACUCAGUGAUAAAGUUGUGGCAAAGUUUGGGACCGAAAUUGAUAAUCACAAUCCAGAGACUCUCUUGUAAAGUAAAGCACAAACGAUGCCAAUAUCCUGAUAGGACAAUGCCUAAAAUAAGCAAAAUGACUACGGGGAUAGGCUGGGUUUGGGAGAUAUUAAAAGACAACACAAUUAGGAUUCUUUUAAUUUUAGCUGCUAGGAUUGUGAGAUUUCUUGAAAAGAAAACAAAGAAAUGAGGAGAUGGUUAUAUUCAUGCCUUUGAAAUGACAUCAUUUAGUGUUGCAAAUUUCCAAAGCAGUCCUCAAAUGUCAGCGAGUUUUUAUAGUUAAUCCUCCUUAGAGUUUUUAAUUUUUAUUUUAUCAUGCGUAAAAGUCAAAAUGAUCAAUUAAAAGAAUUCAAUUGAGUUGUUGAUCGAAUUUAAGGAUACUUCCUUAAUUUGUCUAUUUCUCUCAAAGGCCCUUGAACUUCAAAAUCCUUUUAAUUAAAGUUAAAAUCAGUUAUAUAAUAAAAUAAAUUUUCAAUUAAGCCCUCGAUUGAAUUAAUAUAACCUCCUAAAUUAUGCCAAAUUGAUAAUUUUGGUCUUUGAUCCUUUAAUUCUCUCAAUUAUAAUCAAUUUCAAAUUAAUCACAUCAUUGGAAAAAUUAUUGUGUCCAAUUAAAGCUUGGAAACUUUUGUUAAGUUAAUUAAAAAAUAUUUUUUUGGAUUUUUUUAUGUUUUUAAAAGUAUUUUUUGGCUAUUUUUGAAAAAUAAAUUAGGGGUAAAAUGGGUUAUAACAUGUACAAUAUGUACGUUGAAUAUAAGACAUAAGAGACAUAACAUUCUAUUUUUUUUAAAAAAAAACUUAAUAACCAUUUUAAUGAAAAAAUAUCACUUUGUCCCCUGAAAAAUAUCACAUAUAUUAUUUCAAGAUAAUUUUAAAAUUUAUACAAUCAAAUCCCUAUUUAGUUUUUCUAGGUCUAGAAUUGUAAGCCACUAUAUAAAUUACAUUCUAGUCUUUAAUUUUUAAAAUCUAUUUAAAAUCAGGUCUUACUUAAUUAAUCAUUCCAAUUUAUUUUUUUAUCAAUGAUUCUCAAUAUGCAUGAUCUAUUAGGUUUCUAAUAUAUCGGCCUAAAUAUAAAUCACAGUCCUAAAUAAAAUAAGAUUAAAUUAAUUAAAUAAUUUAACUUAUUAUCAAUUCAACAAUUGAUUGAUUUAUAUUUGAAUAUCAAACGAACCAUCUAACAACAUGUCAUAACCCCUCAAUAUAUAAAUUACAUUCUAGUCUUUAAUUUUUAAAAUCUGUUUAAAAUCAGGUCUUACUUAAUUAAUCAUUCCAAUUUAUUUUUUUAUCAAUGAUUCUCAAUAUGCAUGAUCUAUUAGGUUUCUAAUAUAUCGGCCUAAAUAUAAAUCACAGUCCUAAAUAAAAUAAGAUUAAAUUAAUUAAAUAAUUUAACUUAUUAUCAAUUCAACAAUUGAUUGAUUUAUAUUUGAAUAUCAAACGAACCAUCUAACAACAUGUCAUAACCCCUCAAAUAUUAGAUAAGUUAUAUGUGAUUUGACUUACCUUUACCAGUUUUUCAGUGUAAUUAUUAUCACUUUAUCAAGAAUGUUUUGAUUUAGACAUUGAGCAUGAAGUGCAUCUGCACUAUCAAAUCACAUUUAUUCUCAACACCAUAAUCAUUUAUUAUUGAAUAAAAUUUGAAACUUUUUUCAAAUCUCAUUCCACCUUACAUAAGGAUUUCACGAUCAAUAAUAUUUGAGAAUAUGUGAAAUAUUUUUCCUAAUUCAUUUAUGAUGAUGAAUCUUGUCUUGAUCACUUAGAUACCUUCAUAUAGUUUAUGAUAUAUAUAUAUAUAUAUAUAUAUAUAUAUAUAUAAUAUCUGCAUAUUUGUUAUUCUUGAUUAAGACAAUGUGUAGUUAGAAUUAAAAUAUAGUAUUCUCUAUAUACAAUAACUUAAUGAUAUCUAAGGAUCGCUUAUAUAAUUGUCAUGUAAGCCUUUUUAUAGACAUAAGAGAUAUCUCCAUAUGUAAUCCUCACCAGGUUAAUUUAGUGUAUAUGUCAUUUAAUAAGCGCCUAUAUAUUAGUUUCUAAUAUCCUUUAUACCUCAACUUAUGAGUACAACGAUUUUCUUUCAUAAAGAAAACAACAGAAUAUGUAUCGGUCUCAACAAUUUUAAUUAAUGUCUAAUCUUAAUAGAGCAUUAACCAGGAACAUUUAGAAACAAUGCUUUGAUGUAAUAGAAAUCAUCAUAAUUAUAACCGAUUUAUAAUUUUAUUUUCAAAGAAUUUUUGUCUCAAGAACUUUAUUUUUACUCUAGAUUCAUUAAUCUUACAUAAAUAAAUAUUAAAGAUAAAGAAUGCCUUUAUUAAUAAUAAAUACAUUUUGCAUGAACAAAGUUAGUAUCAUGUGUAACCAACUAAUUGCUAUAAGAUAUAUACACUAACAUGUUGUGUUCUUCAUUUCCAUUUAGAGAGCCCUCAUUUUAGUAUUAGAGAGAUUUACAUGUUGAUGAUAAGAUGCUCUUUCAGUAAUAAUCAUGGUUGGUUAAGUGGAUUUCUCAUAGGUGGUUAUAACCAUUGUAUAAUGCUGUUAAAUCUAUAAAAUAGACAUGUGUAUGGUUAUGUAUGGGAUACAUAUGCACAAAAAGGCUCAUCUAUUGUAAGAUCUCACAUCGGAAACGAGCGUCCAAAGCCAGGACCUUAUAAGUGCAUGCUCACCUUGACUAGUAAGACACGUUUUGGGGUCAUGUGUGGCUGCCAAGAACAAAACCGUGAGGGGGACCUGGGUGGAAGCCCUGGAUUUGGGUGGACUGAGAGGCCCAAAGCGGACAAAUAUCUUGCUAGUGAGGUGGGGUGUUACAUUUGGUAUCAGAGCCAAGGACGGCUCGUCUUAAGAUGAGGGGAUUGUAAGAUCCCACAUCGGAAACGAGCGUCCAAAGCCAGGGCCUUAUAAGUGCAUGCUCACCUUGACUAGUAAGACGUGUUUUGGGGUCAUGCAUGGCUGCCAAGAACAAAACCGUGAGGGGGACCUGGGUGGAAGCCCUGGAUUUGGGUGGACUGGGAGGCCCAAAGCGGACAAAUAUCUUGCUAGGAAGGUGGGGUGUUACAUCUAUGGUAAGGGAUGAGGACCCUAUUAGAACCAAUGAGAACAUAAGGGAUUGCAUAGAGACACUAGGGGUGUGUCUAGACUCUUAGUAUCCCCAUACAAUUCUAUGUUGUAGUAGGGAGUUAGAUGAUAAAGGCCCAUCUCUAAGCAUGUUUAUCAUGUUUGAUCCAUCAAAAUCUAGGAAGAUACCGAUUAUCAGGCUUUUCAUGUCUAAGAAGUUGGCCUCUUUUCAUUACUUGUAAUGAUUAUUUGUUUAGCAUACCAGUGAUGAGUUUAUCUGUGUUUUUCUUUAGAGACAUGUUUAAUGACUUUUGGAAUAAAUUAUGAAUCUAUUUUUCAUCGAGAGUGUCAAUUUAUGUAUUGUCAAUUAAAAUUAUUGUGGACUAACCUAUGAUGAGGCAACAAUUACCGUUAUCAAACAAAAUGGAGACUUUAGAUCUUAUAUUCUUAGUAAGGGUUAUUUGUUCUAAAAGUACAUUAGUUUUAAGGAAGAAAAAAAUUACAAAAUCUUAAAGUGCAGAAAAAUAAAUAAAGCAACAAGGAUAAAAUAUAAAUAAAUGAAAGUAAUAAAAACCCUUUAGAAAAAAAAACAAUAAUAAAUUUAAGGAAUGUAAAUAUGUAGGGGUGAUCAUCAUUUACAUUAUUAUCCGACCCUAUUUAUACUAUUACAAUGUUUGAAUCCUACUUAGAAAAGUAAUCCUAAUCCUAUACAUAUAUUGGUAUAAUAUAAAGAGGCUUAUUAAAUUCCUCUUCUAUUGAUCAUCCUUAGCUGAUUUUUGACUUCUGAUUAGUUAUUUUAAGGACCAAGAACUCUGAAUAUGACUAUAUCCUUUAGUUGUGCACACGUUCAAACCUUGUUGUUUGACUGCUUCUUUUUUUAUCUAUCAUGAUUUCUGAUCACAUAGUCAUUUGCUCCUUCAACUUUAAUAGUUGAUAAAAGACUCUUCUAGCUCGGUUGAUUUAGGUGUCUCAACAAACCCGGGUGAAACCCUACCUCUUUUUACCAUUUCUCUUUUAAAUGACACAUUUUGAAUUUGAAUAAAGGGACAAAAAUCUCCCACACGAGCAGCAACAUGCAAAAGAGAAUAAACAUGAACCUUUGCUCAUCUUCUCCUUUUUUCCUUCACCGAACAUGCUUCUUCUUUCUAACCCACUACUACUAAUGUAAUUGGGAAGCUCAUAAGAUACAAUUGCAUGGCUUGUAAAGGUGUUCUUGCUAAAUUCAAUCUGCAUUUCAUUGGAAAAGCUAACUAGAAGCAACUAAUUUUAGGGUGCUUGUAGGGAAGUUCUUGAUGAUUCAGACUGUGGAAAGUUGGAAUCAACUUACUACACAUCUACAUAAUUCCAGUAACAUUUUUAACUCUAGUAAUAGAUCAAGUUUGAUUUUGUUUUCAAUUCCUUGUUUUUUUUUAUUUAUAUUCAUUAAUUAAAGGAUUGACCUUGAUGUACAUAUUUUAUUUGAUUGCUCUGGACACAGUUCGAGCAUGUCUUUCCUUGGAUUUUUUCUAGUACUUGAAAUCUUAGGAGGUUCUCGUUUUCUUCUCUUUUGAUUUGCAAUUUUCAUAUAUCCCACUCUUUUGACACGUGAUUUUCAUAUAUCCCACUCUUUUGACACGUGAAGGUCUUUUAUUAAAGAUUGAUUUUUAAUACGUACACUAUUUUUGAAUUGUUGUGUUCAUGUUAUUUAUUAAAAUAUGUGAAUUUAAGCUUAUUUAGACCCCUUAUAUCUUCAUGGUUUUUUUAUAUGGCUUAUAAUGUUUUUUUAUGUAUAUAUAAUUUUCAUGGUUGACUUGAGUUGAAUCACCUAAUUCAUAACCUGAUUGUUGUGUCGAUUAAUCUCUAAAUGGGAUUUAAAAACUAUGUUUAUAACUCGAUCAAUUCUUUCACCAUUGAAUUGAGCUCUCUAUUCAAUGGUGCUUAUUCAAUGUUAUCCUUAUUUUUUAAUUUUUUGACUAAUAUUUUUUGUGUUCCUACCCCCACCUCGGUAGCAACGACAGCAACUGCCAUCAAGCAUCAGCAUCUCAUUGUCCACCAAAACAUCUCAUCCAGCCUCCUUCCUUUUUAGAAGCCGGAAUCACAACCGCGCCACUAAUAAUCGCAGCUGUUGCAAUCGACGAUACACGCUCCAAACAAGCCAAGAAUAUCUUGUCCACAGAAGCACAACAACGUGACGUGGAGCUAUAGUGGGUUUGAAAGAUGCAAAGGAGAGGAGUCGAAGGUUAUAAAAGUAAGAGUUUGGUAUAUUCUUGUCUUCUAACAAUACUAAUAUAGAUACGUGUAUAUGUAUGUUAUCUCUCUUUGCUUGCUUCUGCUGCUCUUUCUCUUGGUUUAUUCGGAAGAACUUAAAGAAUACUCUUCUUUUUCUUAAUCUUACAUGCUACUAUAACGCACAAAACAUUUCCAUGCAGAUUAACUGAAUCACUAAUGUGUUUAGUACAGAAUUGUCUUUUUCUUUUUUAUAGAAACCAAACAGACCGUUGUUUUAGGUUAACUUCAGCUAUAAGUUGUGUGACAGGAUGCAUACUCCUUGAUUUGUUCUUUUUAUUUUUAUUUUUUAUUUUUGGAUCAGUAGCUUUGCCCUUUUUUUUUUUUUCUUUCUGGGAGAUGUGGUAAAUUAGAUUUUGCAAGACCGCGUAUGGCUGGCACCAACAUGACCAAAAAGGGUCGCCGAAAAUGUACAUGAGAAGGGUGGGUUCAAUGUAGUAGUAGUUGAAGUGUCAAUAAUAAGAACAUAUAAGUUCAUAUGCUAUUAAUGUAGAUUUACUUAGUAUUUGGUACUGUGGUAAGGAUUAUUUUUUAAAUUGUUUUUUUUUAUGAAAAUGCAUCAAAAUAAUUUUUUAAUUAAUUUUUUAAAAUUUAUUUUUAACAUUAAGCAUAUCAAAAUAAUUUAAAAACAUAAAUUUUUUUUUUGAAAAAAACAUGGCCUAACACGUUGCCAAACAUACAUUUUAAGUGGUGGAACCUUGGAAAGAAGGGGUAUGGGUUGCUUUCAAGGGCCGAGUUGGUUGUUGAAGCCAUCUUGUUUGUUUGAAUCAACCAGCUUACCUUAGAAAGCACACAAGUCAUCAAACCCCUAACAAGAAAAUCUUCUGUUUUGUUUGUCGAGUCAGUGAAAAAUCAAUGGUUCUAAUCUAGCACUUGAAUACACAAUCUCAAGUUAGCAAAAUGGAAAUGCUUUGCACUUGAGAUUUAUUUGUCUUGUUCAUGUCCAUCAAAGUGCCAAUAUAAAUGAAAGAGGAUUUGAGAAAGCAUUCCGACAACACAAAUUCAGUUCACCUUGGAAUCACAACUUGAAAUACCAUUCAUUACUUGAAAAGUGAAUUGAAGGAUACAAAUGCAAGUUUUGAGUCAUGUGACUACCAUUAUCAAAUAAAAUGGAGACUUUAGAUCUCAUACUCUUAGUAAGGGUUAUUUAUUCUAAAAGCACAUAGUCAUUUGCUCCUUCAACUCUCAUAGUUGAUAAAAGACUCUUCUAGCCCGGUUAGACCUAGGUGACUCAUCAAACCCAAGUGAGACCCACCUCUUUUAACCAUUUCUCUUCUAAACAACACAUUUUGAAUUUGAAUAAAGGGAUAAAAAUCUAAAACACAAGCAGCAACAUGCAAAAAAGAAUAAACAUUCACCUUUCCUCAUUUUCUUCUUUUUCCUUCACCGAACAUGCUUCUUCUUUCUAACCCACUAAUACUGAUGUAAUUGGGAAGCUCAUAAGAUACAAUUGCAUGGCUUGUAACGGUGUUCUUGCUAAAUUUCUUCUACAUUUCAUUGUAAAAGCUAACUAGAAGCAACUAAUUUUAGGGUGCUCGUAGGGAAGUUUUUGAUGGCUCAGACUUUGGAAAGUUGGAGUCAACUUACUACACGUCUGCAGAAUUCUAGUAACCUUUUUAACUCUAAGAACAUAUCAGGUUUGGUUUUGUUUUCAAUUCCUUGUUUUUUCCUUAUUUAUAUUCAUUAAUUAAGGGAUUGACCUUGAUAUGCAUAUUUUAUCUAAUUGCUCUAGACAUAGUACAAUGAUGUCUAUUCUUGGAUUUUUUUUCUAAUACUUUAAAUCUUAGGAGGUUCUCGUUUUCUUUUCUCUUGAUUUGCAAUUUUCAUAUAUCCCACUUUUUUGACAUGUGAAGGUCUUUUAUUAAAGAUUGAUUUUUAAUGCAUACACUACUUUUAAAUUGUUAUAUGCAUGUUAUUUAUUAAGAUAUUUGAAUUUAAGCUUAUUUAGACCCACUAUAUCUUCAUGGUUUUCUUAUAUGGUUUAUAAUGUGUGUGUGUGUGUGUGUGUAAUUUGAGUUGAAUUACCCAACUCAUAACUUGACUAUUGUGUCAGCUGAUCCUGAGUUGUGUUUAAAAAUUAUACUUAUAACUCGAUUAAUUUUUUCAUCAUUGAUGACUUCAGCUCUUUGUUUGGUGAUGCUUAUUCAUUGUUAUCCUGUUUGUAUAUUUUAAAUAAAUAUAAAAAAUAAGCUGAAAAAAAUUGUUUAAUUCGUAUUUUUCAAUUUUUUGACUAAUAUUUUUUUGUGUUAUUUUACUCCGUCCAUUUUGUAAAAGAGAGAGAAAAAAGAAAGCACUUUCUAGCACUUUUUAGACAGGCGCCGCACAUCCUAAGAAAAGAAACUCACAAGGAAAAAAAAUCCAACCACCCCCCCACCGGCAACAACUGCCAUCAGCAUCUCACUGUCCACCAAAACAUCUCUUCCAGCCUUUUUCUCGUCCAGAAGCUGGAAUCACGAGUAACCACAGCUGCUGUAACCAACGACACGCACUCCAAACGAGCCAAAGAUAUCUUGUCCACAGAAGCACAAUAGUGUGACAGUGGAGCUAUAAUGGGUUUGAAAGACGCAAAGAAGAGGAGUCGAAGGUCAUAAAAGUAUUUAGUAUAUUCUUGUCUUCUAACAAUACUAAUAUAGGUUAGGUAUGUUAUCUCUCUUUGCUUGCUGCUCCUACAUGGUUUAUUUGGGAGAUAUUAAAGAAUGCUCUUCUUUUUAUGAAUCUUACAUGCUAGUAUAAAACACAAAACAUUUACAGGCAGAUUAACUGAAUCACUAAUGUGUUUAGUAUAGAAGACCGUUGUUUUAGGUUAACUUCAGCUGUAAGUUGUAUGACAUGAUGCGUACUUCUUGAUUUGUUCUUUUUAUUUUUUAUUUUUAUUUUUAUUUUUUCUUUUUGGAUCAGAGGCUUUGCCUCUUUUUUCUGGGAGAUAUGGUAAAUUAGAUUUUGCAAGACUGCAUAUGGCUGCCACCAACAUGACCAAAAAGGGUCACCGAAACUGUACAUGAGAAUGGUGGGUUCAAUGUAGUAAGAGGUCAAGUAUCAUUGAUAAGAACAUAUAAGUGGAGUCAGUGCGUUCAUAUGCUAUUAAUGUAGAUUUACGUUGUGUUAUUGUGAUAAGGAUUGCUUUUCAUAUUGUUUUUUGCUUGGAAAUACAUUAAAAUAAUGUUUUUUAUUUUUUAAAUUUAUUUUUAACAUCAGUACAUCAAAAUGAUCUAAAAACAAAAAAAAAUUAAAGAAUUUUCAUGGCCCAGCCGCGUUGCCAAACAUACAUUUAAGUGGUAGAACCUUGGAAAGAAGGGCUAUGGGUUUCUUUCAAGGCCCGAGUUGGUUUUUGAAGUCAUCUUGUCUGUUUGAAUCAACCGCUUACCUUAGAAAGCACACAAGUCAUCAAACCCCUAACAAGACAAUCUUCUGUUUUGUUUGUUGAGUCAAUAAAAAAUCAAUGGUUCUAAUCUAGCUUAUUAAUGAGCUGAAAAAUAGCUUAUUAAUGUUUUAUUUUUUUUUCAAGUUUAUUAAAAUAAUGGAAAACAAAUCUUAUAAAUUAAAAAGUUGAAUAAGAAUGAAAUUUUAAAAAAAUUCUAAUUUCAUAAAUUAUCUCAAAUAAAAUAAAUAAUAAUAUAAAUAAUUGAUAUCAAAUCUAAUAAAUAAAAAAAUUAAAAGAUGAUGAAAUUAAAAUAAUAAUAAUUACAAUUUCAUAAAUUAUUUUAAAUAAAAUAAGUAACAAUUAAAAGAAUGAGGACCAAAUUUGAUAAGCAAAAAUUUCAAUUAAAAAUAAUAAGAGAAGCAAAUAAUAAUUAUAAAAAUAAGAAAUAAAGUUAAUAUAAAAAUCAAAUUAAAUCAAUUUUAAGAGAUGAAAUUAAAAAAAAUUCAAAUAAAAUAUAUAUCAAUCAAAAGUUUAAGGAUCAAAUUUGAUAUAAUUAGCAAAUAAUAUGAUAUUUUUAAUUUUUUUAUAAUUUCUUGAAAAUAUUUUUAUUCAAAAUAAAAGAAAAAUAUUUUCUUGAAAAUUAAGUUAAACUUUACUUUAACUGGAAAAUAUUUUUUAUCCAUUAAAUUUUUCUAAUAACAAAUAAACUCAUGAAAAUUUAAAAAAUAAUAAAAACAUUUUCUGGGCAAACAAACACAACUGAAUCUUCAAGUAAAAGCAAAGAAAACCCCUCGAAACAAUGUGUAGCGGAACUCCCAUUUCCACCUUAUAAUUUAAAAAAGUUCGAGCUUGAAGCAUAAUCGCUAUAAACAUUAUAAGCUUUACGUCAACUUUUGUAAGUUGUGUUCUCUUAUUUUAUAUAAUCAUUACAAAUCAGAAGCUGAGUGGGUUUAGCUGUAUCGGAGUUUUUCUACAGAGACAUAAAUACAGUUUGGUUUUCGGGCAGCUGAAGAACACAAGAAUGGCAUCAACAGGGCAAUCGCAGUCACUAAAAAGAAGGGAUGCACCGGUAACAAGAGAAGGAGGGGAUCAGCUAACUCUAACCCCUUUAGGUGCUGGAAAUGAAGUGGGUCGAUCCUGUGUUUACAUGUCAUUUAAAGGCAAGACUGUACUGGUAUUGCUUCCCUCCAUCCUUCCCUCUAUGCAUUUUGUUGUUUUUCAAUUAUGCCAUUUUGUACUGAUUUACUAUUGGUAAUUUUUGUUUACGCUGGAUCAAAUUCAAUGACUAUAUUUUGUUUAUUAAUUUAUGUUUUUUUUGUCGAAUUAUGCCAAUGUUAGUUUGAUUAUGGAAUUCAUCCGGCUUAUUCGGGUAUGACUGCUUUGCCUUCGAUGAGAUUGACCCUUCCACUAUUGAUGUACUUCUCGUUACACAGUAUGUAUUUCAUCACCUUCUCUUGCUAAUUCUCCUUGCUUGCCUAUUGUAUAUAUGUAUAUUGAUUUUCCAUUCCAUGAGGCAAUAUUUUGUUUCUCACUAUUAGUUUCGUAAAUGCUAGUUUUUUCUCUCACUGAAUGCUCCUUUGAUUUGACCUUGCUUGCUUUCUUGUUUGUUCAUUUUCUUGUCAAAAGAAUACUUUGAAGAGAUAUCUCCUAUGAUGAUGUAGUAAGAUUGCAUGAAAUUUUUAGCUGCGAGAGAUCAACUUGUCCAAGGAAGAACAUGAAAUUGUUUCAGAAUUAGAGAACACUCAGCACAGAAGUCAGAUAUACAAAUAUUGAGAAAGUUAGUGUUAGGGUAUUUUGGUCUAAUAUUUGGGAAGAUUUUAUUGUGAAAAUACAAGUUGGGAAGGAGUUUAAAUAUUGUGAGAAAAACCGCAUGAUGCAGUUCCUUAGGUGCUUGAACUUGCAUUAUCAGGGCCAUUUGAUAGGCAAUGGCUAGGUUCCUCAUCAGUAGAAGUUAGCCAAGUCUGUUAUAAUGCUGGACUUGACAAUAAUAUAAAUUGAAACAGUGAAACUUAAACUUGAUGCUUUGUCAGCAAGAGAGGGCAGCCUGAACUUUCUUACCUCUAUAAAAAAUUAUCAAUAGUAUUCUUGAUGUGUGCUGGGAACUUUUUACUCUUAACUGGAUCUAUGCAGUUGUAGAGAAGUAUAGAUGUAAUGAGAUUUCUGAUAAAGUUUUGUUGGAAUUUAAAGUGUCAUAGACUCAUGAUAUCUAUAUUUUAAUUAUUCACAUGCUCCUUGUUGCAAGAAGAUGAGUGAUCUUCUAAGAAAUAGGUUUGUGCUCGUUAUAGAGAAAGAUAAGAAGCAGAUAAAAUGUAAUGACUCCACACACCUUUUCAUUUACAUUUGCAUGUAUAAAUACAGGAUUGAAGAGCUUAUUAAGCCUGAAGUUCUGCUAUUCUAUAACUGACUACAAGCUGUGAAUUAUGAGUUGUACAUGAUUCAAACAUUCAAAUUAAACGUAAAGAGUUGAUUCUGUUGGAUGAGGAUUUUAUGGAGGUGUUGAUGCUGUUAGAUGAGUAAUUUGUGGAAGAGUAAUGACUUUUCUUAUAUGCCCCCGCAAGAUGGAGGUACCAUCAGUAACACCAAUCUUGGAUCUUAAGGUUUGAAAACGGUGGCGUGGAAGAGGCUUCGUAAGUAAGUCUGCAAGUUGGUCUAAAGUGUGAACAUGAUUGACAGUAAUGCGACCUUUCUGGACAAGAUCACGAACAAAAAGAAGGUCGAUUUCGAUAUGUUUCAUGCGAGUGUUGUACUGGAUUUAAGCUGAAAUGAGUUGCACCAAUGUUAUCACAAAAAACUUGGGGAGGAUUUUGUAGAUGUAAGCCAAGUUCUGUGAUUAAGGAGUGAAGCCACACUGUUUCAGAAGUGGCAGCAGCUAAUGCACGAAAUUCAGCUUCUGUAGAGUAACGCGAUACAGCUCUUUGUUUGCGUGCAAACCAAGAAAUGGGAUUGGAGCCUAGAAAGGUGAUAAAUGCAGUGGUGGAGACCCUUGUAUCAGUGUUGGCAGCCCAUUCCGCAUCAACAAAGGUUUGUAGAUUGAAGGGGCUGCUCUGUUGAAUAAGAAUCCCAGGGAACAUUGUUUGCUUGAGAUACCUGAUAAUUCGUUUGGCUGCAGUCCAAUGACACGCUGUUGGUUUGUGCAUGAACUGGGAAAGCUGAUUCACUGCAAAGGCAAUGUCAGGUCUAGUCAGGCCAAGAUAUUGCAGUGCCCCAAUAACUCUUCUAUAUUCUGUGCUGUCUGCAGGGGCUGAACCAUCUGUUAAAAGCAGUGGUGUGCUGGUUGACAUUGGAGUGUGAAUGUCUUUGGUCAUAACCAUGGAGGUUUUAGAGAGUAAAUCUCGUAUGUAUUUAUGUUGUGAAAGGAAAAGGCCCUUGGCUGUAGGAAUAACUUCAAUGCCAAGAAAAAAAUGGAGAUGUCCCAUGUCUUUGACAGAGAAGGUGUGACCGAGUUUGUUGAUGAUAGCAGCUACAAAUGUGGAGACGUUUCCUGUGAUAAUAAUGUCAUCAACAUACACAAGACAAUAGCAUGAACACUGUUAGAGGCAUAGAUGAAUAAAGAAGUGUCCGUAGCUGAGUGAACAAAUCCAAAAUGCAAAAGAGCAUCCCAGAGAGCUUUGUACCACUGGCGGGGUGCCUGUUUCAGUCCAUAAAUACUUUUCUUCAGUUUACAAACAUAGUCAGGCUUUGAUGUAUCUUUGAAGCCUGGAGGUUGAUGCAUAAACAUUGUUUCUUCAAGAUUGCCAUGAAGAAAAGCAUUAUUAGGGACCAACCAUUCAUGACAGCAAUAGAGAGGAUUAAACGAAUUGUAGCUGGUUUGACAACUUGACUGAAUGUCUGGGAAUAAUCAAGACCUGGUCUUUGGCGGAAGCCUUUGGCGACUAGACGAGCUUUGUAUCUGCUGAUGGUUCCAUCAGGGUUUCUUUUCGUUCAAAAGACGAAUUUGCAGCCUAUAAGAUUUUGACUGUUUGCAGGAGGGACAAGUUCCCAAGUUGCAUGAUUAAGUAAUGCAGUGAUUUCUUCUGACAUGGCAUUGCGCCAGAGUGGAUUUUUAAGUGCUUGACUAACACAUAUUGGUUUAGGUGAUUCAGGUAAUGGAUGUGUGGUGGUGGUGUGAAGUUGUUUGGGAACAAAGAUGUUAUUCAUAGAUCGAGUGGUCAUGUUAUGUUGUCUUUGAGAAACAACAGGAGCUGGAAUAUUUACCUGAACCGUGGAGACUGUGUUGUAGUGUCUGAAUUGGAUGUAGAUAGAGAGAGCUCUUCUUGAGGGGCAGUGAAGACUGGUGCAGAGGGAGCUUGGUUGGUUGGUGUGACAAUCUGCAGCAAUGGUGUAGAGAGAGUAGGAGCAACAGGUAUGGAAGACUCAGAAGUGGACUGGUUGUUGAUGUUCUUUAGAGGAUAGAUAUUUUCAUCAAACGUAACAUGUCGUGAGACAUAUAAGCAUUGAGUAGGUAAGUGUAAGCAAAGAUAGGCACUCAGUGUAGUGGAAUAACCAAGAAACACACAGGGAACAGAUUUCGGCUGGAGCUUAUGUGUGUGGUAAGUUUUUAACCAGGGAAAACACAAGCAACCAAAUGAUCUGAGUUUGAGAUAAUUUGGAGCUUCUGUGAACAAGGUUUGAAAAGGGGAGCUGUGAUGAAGAAUAGGUGAGGGCAACCGAUUAAUUAGAUAGGUUGCCGUGGCAAACGCACAAGACCAAAAAUAGGAAGGAAGAUUGGCGUGACUGAGAAGUUGUUGCCUGUUUCUACUAUGUCUCUAUGGCGACGCUCUGAAACGCCAUUCUAUUGAGGAGUGUGUGGGGCUGUGGUGUAAUGGCUGAUGCCGUGAAAAGUAAGAAAUGGUUGAAGGGCGACAAAUUCUCCGCCAUUAUCAUAGUAGAGAGUUUUGAUAUUAGCAUUAAACCGAUUUUGAAUCAUUUUAUGAAAUUGAGGAAAAAUGAUUUUAACAUCAGAUUUGUUACGGAGUGGAAAAACCAGACAUAUUUUGUGAAGUGAUCAAUGAAGAUCACGUAAUAUUUAUGACCUUGAAUGCUGGUUUGUGGUGAUGGUCCCCAAACAUCGGUAUGUAUUUGAAGAAUUUUGAGAGAAGUUUUUCUCUUUUCUUAAUAUUACUAGCAGUAUGUUUGUACAAUAAAUAGGGAAGAGAAGCUAACCUACUAACCCUCAAAACAAGAAAUAAAUACUAGAUAGGAAAGUAUCCUACACUAAACUAGAAAGCAAUAAUCUAGAGAAUCUGGAUAGUUAAUACCAGAUUCUCUUUCCUAAACCAUAUAUACUAAGAUUUCUCUAAGAUCCUAACUGAUUUUGAGACUGAUUUCCACACUCCCCCUCAAGCUGGGUUGUAUAUGUUAUACAUGCCCAGCUUGUGACUCAAUUCUUCAAAAUUUGUUCUUGGUAGAGCUUUGGUGAGGAUGUCUGCAAUCUGAGAUCUUGUUGGAGUGUAGGUAAGGUGAACAAUGUUCUUCUUAAUUUUUUCUGUGAUGAAGUGUCGAUCUAUUUCAAUGUGCUUUGUCCUGUCAUGAUGAACAAUGUUCUGCUUGAUAGGUGUCAAUGAUUCCAAGCCAAGUUCUUUAAGUAAUCUUUGUAUCCACAUCCCUUCACAGAUACCAAGAGCUAGAGCUCUCAGCUCAGAUUCUGCACUGCUUCUAGAUACCACAUGUUGUUUCUUGCUUCUCCAAGUUACUAGAUUUCCCCAAACAUAGGAGCAAUAUCCAGAAGUAGAUCUCCUAUCUAUAAUGUUUCCUGCCCAGUCUGCAUCUGUGUAGAUUUCAAUAUUUCUGUUGUCAGAUUUCUUGUAUAGAAGGCCUCUACUAGGAGUCAUUUUUAGGUACCUCAAGAUUCUAUUAACUGCUGCCAUAUGAUCUUCUGUCGGGUUGUUCAUGAAUUGGCUUACAAAACUGACUGCAAAGCCAAUAUCAGGUCUGGUAUGUGAGAGAUAGAUGAGUCGACCCACAAGUCUUUGAUAUCUCCCCUUAUCCACUGGUAUACUAUCAUUUUAUGCUCCUAUCUUCUUUGUUGAAUCCAUUGGAGUGUCUGCAGGUUUGCAUCCAAGCAUUCCUGUUUCUUUUAGCAGAUCCAAGACAUAUUUUCGUUGUGAAACAUAUAUACCUUUCCUUGACAUUGCCACUUCCAUGCCAAGGAAGUAUUUGAGAUACCCAAGGUCUUUGAUCUCAAAUUCCUUGGCUAAGAGUUUCUUCAGUCUCACCAGUUCUUCCUCAUAAUCCCCAGUUAAGAUGAUGUCAUCCACAUGUAUAUUAGGAUUGCUAUUUCCUUUUCUGGAGAGGUUUUUACAAACAGUGUGUGGUCUGCUUGGCAUUAGGAAUAUCCAUAUUGUGCUACUGUCUUUGUAAAUCUGUCAAACCAUGCCCGAGGGGAUUGCUUGAGUCCAUAUAGUGAUUUUUUCAGUCUGCAUACUCUGUUGACAUUGGAGGAUGUUUCUAGUCCUGGAGGAAUCUCCAUGUAUACUUCUUCUUCCAAGUCUCCAUUAAGGAAAGCAUUUUUGAUGUCUAGUUGAUGUAAUGGCCAGUCUUGGUUAGCUGCUAGGGAUAGAAGCACUCUGAUUGUAUUAAGUUUGGCCACUAGAGCAAAUGUUUCUUGAUAAUCUAUUCCAUAGGACUGAGUAAACCCUUUUGCAACCAGACGAGCUUUUAACCUUUCAAUACUUCCAUCAGCCUUAUGUUUGAUAGUAAAUAACCAUUUACACCCAACUGGUUUCUUUCCAGGUGGAAGUUUAGAAAUUUUCCAAGUUCUAUUCUUGUUUAAGGCACUGAUUUCAUCACUCACUGCCUUUCUCCACCCUGAAUCUUUGAGAGCUUCUUCAAUAGACUUAGGAAUCUGUACACUGUCAAUGGCUGAAACAAAUGCAUGAUAGGUUGGUGAUAACCCUUCAUAUGAAACAAAUUUGCUGAUGGGAUGACUUGUGCAUGAUCUAACACCCUUUCUCAAAGCAAUUGGAAUAUUUGAAUCAUCAAUAACAGAGGCAGUAUUCUCACAGUCAGAAGUUUCCAUACCUGAGUAUAUUGGGGCAGAAUCUGGACUUGGUUCUGAAUCUUGGUCAUGUGCAAGAGGUAUUGUGUGCUCUAUCUCCUUUCCAAGUUUUUUCCUUCUAGAAUAAGUAAGAAGCUCAUGAUUUGUGAUCUGUUUUGGUGUAGGAUGAAUCUGGUCAGGAGAUUGGACUGAAGCUGGUGGUGCUGGGACUGAUUGGAUUGAGGCUGGAGGUGUAGUGUAAGGACUCAAAUGACUUUGGACAAGAAUCUGUUAGUUGUCUCCUGAGUUAAUUACAUGAUCAGAUUGUAUAUCCCAAUUCUGAUAUUCUCUCAUGGUUGCCCCCUAAAGAUCAGACUUGGGAUAGUAUGCUUGGUGUUCAAAAAAUGUGACAUCCAUAGAGGUAUAGACCUUUUUGAGAACAGGAGAAUAACAUUUAUAACCCUUUUGGUGUGGAGAGUAUCCUAUAAAAAUGCACUUAAGAGAGGUAGGGUCUAAUUUUCCUCUAUGGUGUAUAUGAACAAACACUGAGCAGCCAAAUACUUUAGGGUCUAAGGAAGGGAGUAGUUUGGUGUGUGGAAAGGCUUGUAAAAGGACUUGGCUGGGAGUUCUGAAGCUUAGAACUCUGGAAGGCAUUCUGUUGAUGAGAUAAGUUGCUGUGAGUACAGCUUCUCCCCAGAAUUGUUUUGGCACAUGAGUAGAGAGCAUAAGGGAUCUAGCAACUUCCAACAGAUGUCUAUUCUUCCUUUCAGCCACUCCAUUUUGUUGUGGAGUGUUAACACAAGAGCUUAUAUGGAUAAUGUCUUGAUUUAGACAAUAGGUAUUAAGGCUAGAAUUGAAAUAUUCUUUGGCAUUAUAAGUUUUUAGGAUUUGGAUUUUAGUCUGGAAUUGGGUUUGUAUCAUGGCAUGGAAGUUUUGGAAAAUCUGGCUGACUUCAGAUUUUUCUUUCAUAAGGAAUAACCAAGUCAAUCUAGUGUGAUCAUCAACAAAGGAGACAAACCACCGAGUUCCAGUUAUAUUGUGCACUUGUGAGGGGCCCCAUACAUCACUAUGAAUCAUUGUAAAUGGAUGUGAUGGUUUAUAUGAAAUGGUGGGAUAGCUACUGCGAACAUGUUUAGAGAGUUGACAUAUUUCACAUUUGAAGGAUUGUGAGCUUUUAUUGGAAAAGAAGGAUGGAAACAACUUUUCAAGGUACAUGAAGUUUGGAUGACCAAGACGAUAGUGUCAUAACAGAACUUCACUAUCUUUAUUGACAUGAAAAUUUAAAGCUAAUUGACCCUUGGAUGAUACAUAGCUUCUGUUUUGAGUUUGCUUUAGAGGAAUCUCACUUUUGAGCAGAUAGAGCCCAGAACACAUUUUAGCACUGCCAAUCUUCUUCCCCAUAUCCAAAUCCUGAAAUAUACACAAAUGAGGAAAGAAUUUAGCAACACAAUUCAGGUCACGAGUCAAUUUGCUAAUUGAGAGUAGGUUGCAGUCUAGGUUAGGAACAUGGAGAAUAGAGUUUAGGAUCAUGUCCCUUGAGAGUCUACUCAUCCCUAUUCCCUUUACUUGGGAGGAAGACCCAUCAGCUAUACGGACUGUAGAAUUAUUAGUGCACUGAUUGUAUUCAUUAAGAAGAGUGGCAUCUCCUGUCAUAUGGUCUGAUGCUCCGGAGUCGAUGAUCCAAGGGCUUGAGUGUUUCUUACUAACAGUAAGGGCUAUUGAAAAUUUACCUUUUUGUGCUGACAGACCAGAUCCAGAACCAGGGCUGACAUACUUGGUUGAGACUGUGAAUUCUGACUGAAGAGUUUCUGUAAGAUCUCAAGUUGUUCCUUGCUGAAAGGACUUGUUUUUGUUGGCAGAAUGGUGUUCUUAUCUCGGUUGUUAUCUGAGAUAACAUUGUGGGCACGUCUGUCUUUGUCAUUUAUUGAUUUUGAUGGUUUCCAAUCAGCAGGUUUGCCAUGAAUCUUCCAACAGUUUUCCUUGACAUGUCCUGGUUUGUUGCAGUGAUCACACCAGGGUCUUCCUUUCCUCUGUCGGUUAUCAUAGUUGCUGUUUGAAUAGCCUCGAGCAGCAAGGGCAGAUCCUUCCAUUAUAUGAGCUGAGUUGUGAGGUCCCAUCAUUACUUUCUUUCUACUUUCUUCACGUCUAACCUCAGAGAAUGCUUCUCUGAGAUUUGGAAGAGGUUUGGUUCCCAUUAUUCUUCCUCUUACUUCAUCAAGGUUCUUGUUGAGCCCAAGAAGAAAUUUAAAAGUUCUUUUCUGCUCAACAAUUCUUCUAUAUAGGACUGUGUCUUCAGGGCAAUUCCAGCUGUGAAUUUCAAACAUAUCUAGGUGCUGCCAAUGACGGCAGAGAGUGUUGAAGUAUUGAGUAAUAGAAAGUUUUCUUUGGCGUAGAUCAUGUAACACUGCCUCAAUCUCAAAUAGUUCUGAUGUAUUUUCAGAACUUAAGUAGGUUUCUCUUGCUGCUUCCCAGAUUUCCUUUGUUGUUCCAUAUAGGAGAAAAUUUUCUCCAAUUUCAUUGGUCAUUGAAUUGAUCAGCCAUGACAUUACCAUAUGAUUUUCAGUCUUCCAUGUUCGGAACAUGGGAUCAUUCUUUUCUAGUAUGAUGAUAUCCCCUGUGAGGUAGUCAUCUCUGCCCUUUCCACAAAUAAAAAUCAUGACUGAUGAUGACCAUUGAAGAUAAUUAUAUCCAUUGAGUUUGUGUCCUGUGAUUUGGUGUGAUGUGCCUUCAGUGCCUCCUGAAAGGCUACCAUGAGAGGUUGUUCCUAGCUGUGAGGUCACCUCAGAGAGAGAGCUUUGUCCUGCUGCUGCCAUGCCUUGGAGAAACAGAUUAGGGUUCAAGAGUAGGCUCUAAUACCAUGAAGAAUUUUGAGAGAAGUCUUUCUCUUUUCUUAAUAUUACUAGCAGUAUGUUUGUACAAUAAAUAGGGAAGAGAAGCUAACCUACUAACCCUCAAAACAAGAAAUAAAUACUAGAUAGGAAAGUAUUCUACACUAAACUAGAAAGCAAUAAUCUAGAGAAUCUGGAUAGUUAAUACCAGAUUCUCUUUCCUAAACCAUAUAUACUAAGAUUUCUCUAAGAUCCUAACUGAUUUUGAGACUGAUUUCCACAAUAUUAAAUUAAAAGGAGCAGAGCUAGUGAGGCCAUGUUUAUGAAAAGGCAGACGAUGAGAUUUAUUGAUAGAACAGGAAUCACAAACAUGAGAUAUAGAGGAAUUGCUGGAAAUUGGAAGAGAGAAGGAGGUGAUCAUUCUGGCUACAACUUUGGAGGAAGGAUGGCCUAGGCGUUGAUGCCAGCCAUUUAUGGAUGUGCGUUCAUGGACCAUUGCAAUGGGAGUGGAGGCACGGAGAUGAGGUAGAGGAUAAACACCAUUCUCACACGGUCCUUGAAGAAGAGUCUCUCUCGUCCGCUGAUCCUUGAUAAAAAAACAAGAGGGAUGAAAUUCAAGAAACACAUUGUUGUGUUUGGUAAAAUGAUGUACUGAAAUCAAAUUUUGAUUGAUGGUGGGAACAUUAAGAGUGUCUUGAAUUUGGAAAGUGUGUUUAGGAAAAGGAAGAGUAAGAGAACCUGAGUGGGUUAUUUUCAAACCUGAACCAUCUCCAAUGAGCACUUCAUCUGUGCCAUCAUAUUCAGAAUGUAAGUGCAGAUUGGAUACUUAAGAGGUGAUGUUAUGGGAUGCAGCAGAGUCAAUGAGCCAGCGCUGAUCUGGACUGGGAGAAGCAGUGGUGCAGUUAGCUGUAGCCUUCCUAGUGUGUAACUGAGGACAGUAUUUGGCAACAUGGCCAAGUUGAUCACAUUGUUGGCAUUUGGGGGUAUAUUUUUGCUGCCUAAAAUAGCGGGGUUGAGAUUUGGAAUCAUAUUUCUGUGUGGCUGCAUUCAGAGAUGACCAUGGUUGUCUUUUUGAAAAACGAUGAUCCUUGCGCUGAGUAUUGUGUGCUGUGACAACCAGGGAAGGAGGAUUAAUGUCCAGGCGUUUGAGAUAAGACUCAUGACCAAUGGGAAGAUCAUGAAGUUCUUCAAAUGAUAAAGCAGAUUCGUGUGCACGAAUGGGGGCUACCAUUUCUCUAUAUUCAGGACCUAAGCCAUUGAGAACAUAGAGAGUAAUGUCAUCAGCAGAGAGAGGAGCAUCAAUGAGAGCAAACUCAUCUGCAAUAGACUUGAUAGAAUAAAGAAAUUCUGUGACAGUGCAUGUUCCACACUGAAGAAGAGUGAGAUCCUCUUUGAAUUGCAUGACUCGUGUUCUAGAACGACUAGCAUAAAGCUUGGUCAGUUUGUUCCAGGCUUGAGAGGAUGUUUUGGAAGCAGCUAUGAAAGGUAUCACAAAAUCAGACACCGAAGUAAGGGUAGCAUUUAAAAUUAAUUUGUCCUGUUGAAACCAGUGAGUAUAGGCAGCAGUAGGUGCUGCAUCAGGGUUCGUGGACGAGGGGCAUGUGAGUGUACCAUCGAUAUAACCAUAUAGGUUGUAGCCGAGAAGGAGGGACUUAAACUGUGCAUGCCAAGAGGGAUAAUUGGUUGGUGUGAGUCGGGUAGUGAUCUGCUGGGUGGUGUUAAUAGCAACAGGGGAAGGAGUUGAGGAGGCCAUUGCAGAAGCGAAGAAGAAGAAAAAAAAAUCAAAGGGAAACUCGUUGGAGAAAAGAGGGCUCUGAUACCAUAUAGAGAAAGAUAAGAAGCAGAUAAAACGUAAUGACUCCACACUUUUUCAUUUAUAUUUGCAUGUAUAAAUACAGGAUUGAAGAGCUUAUUAAGCCUGAAGUUCUGCUGUUCUAUAACUGACUACAAGCUGUGAAUUAUGAGUUGUACAUGAUUCAAACAUUCAAAUUAAACGUAAGGAGUUGAUUCUGUUGGAUGAGGAUUUUAUGGAGGAGCUGAUGUUGUUGGAUGAGUAAUUUGUGGAAGAGUAAUGACUUUCCUUAUACUCGUGAGGUUUAUUGCUUAUGAUGGGAACCAUAAUAGAACAGUGCUGAAAAUGCAUGCAAUUGGGGAGUGAAAGCAAUCCAUUUUCCGGCUGAAGAAAUCAUUUAGGAAAAUCUUGAUUAUCUAUGCUAUAUUAUAAUAUAUAUAUUCUUUUUUUAAUGUGAUUAAAUAUCAUAAAGUGUUCAACAAGAAAGCAAAACAAUAAAAGAAUAUGAAUUCUUUCUACUAAUUAAUUAUGUUGAAUAUUAGUGUGAUUGCAUAUUAUGCAAUGAUUCAAAAAAUGAAAAUAUUGAAAAAUCAUUGUAUCACAUUGGUUGGGAAAUAAAUAUGCUCCAUUUGCUGAAAUUUCAUUUAAGGUGUCAGGAAACUCUAGUUAGUUUCUUUCUUUUUUUUUUUUUUUUUUUGAGAAUUCUUUCUGUUACAUUAAUGAAGUCAUAAGGGCCUCUUGGAAUUUUUUUUAAACAAAUAAAAUCAAUAUUGUGUUUUCUAUAUUUGUUCAAUUUAGUUUUUGUUAUCUAUCGUUACUUUUUCAAUCAAAAUUUUUAGUCCUCUCUAGUUUUUUCUUAUCAAUCAUUGGGAGUGAUGCUUUCUGCUUGCAGCUUUCACUUGGAUCAUGCUGCAUCCCUACCUUAUUUUCUUGAGAAGGUUUGUUUUUUUACUGAUUUCUACAAAGUUAUUGUAUCUUUCACUAGGAUCAAUCUAAAAUGUUCACUCUUUAUCAGACCACAUUCAGAGGUCGAGUUUUCAUGACUCAUGCGACAAAGGCUAUCUUCAAGUUGCUUUUGACUAAUUAUGUAAAAGUGAGCAAAGUUUCAGUGGAAGAUAUGCUGUUUGAUGAGAAAGACAUAAACCGCUCAAUGGAUAAAAUCGAGGUCUGUGUUUAUGAAUUCUUGCAUUCUUUUGUUUACAUCUAUCCGCAACCUUUUUGUUCUCCCAGAAACUUGAUCCACUUCGUUUACCUUCCAUCCAAGCAAUAGCUUGGAAAUAUUUUUGUUUAUUAUAUUUGGCUUGGCAUUAUAUUGUGGUCCCAAAGUCAGGGGCCCAGGAAUUCAGCUUAUUGGUUAUUCUUCUUUAUCACCUCCUAUCCAUGUUGAGUUAAUUGCUCUAGAUGAAAGGUCUGCUAUUGUCUUCUGGAAUUUAAAGUGUUUCAAUCUUGCAUUUGAUGUUGUGAAUUUUGCUCUCUAUGGAUUUCUUAGCUUUCAGUCUGUUUGAGUUUGGCAUUGUUAGUUGUUGGCUUCUCAUUGGAGGCUUGUAUGUUUCGCAUGGAAACUUAGGACCAAUUUAUAUGCAUCUGAUAAUUAAGUUAUGCCUUUCUUUUUCCAGUAGUGAUCAAUCUACCACACUUAAGUUGCAUUUGGAAUAUUGCCUGAUUAAUCAAAGAGCAUAUUCAAGUAGUUGUGGUUGACUGCCAUGUAUCUUUUUUGAACUAUGACAGUUUGGGUCAUAAUAUAGCGAGUGUCAUCUCACUCUUUAUCUUCCUGCACAUGUAAGAUUUUAGUGAUUAGUAAUAAGAUAACGGUAAUUCAACAACAACAAAAAAAAGAGAGAGGAUAUCUAUGGAGCUAAUUCAAUGCGAGGAUUUCUUUUUUCUUUUGAUUUUAUUUCCAUCCUUGUAGCACAAUCACGAUCCAUGAGUGCAAGUGGUCAAAACAUUGAGAGAUUGCAGAGGGAAAGAGAGGAUAUCUCUUUUAUAUAUUUUUCUUUUCAUACAUGGACUGUUAGGGUGUGUUUGAGAUUGUAGUAGCGGUGGCGGUUCAAAGUGUUUUUCGUAUAGAAAUACAUCAGAGUAAAGUUUUUUUAUUUUUUAAAAAUUAUUUUUGACAUCAGCACAUCAAAACGAUCUGAAAAUACAAAAAAAAAAUUUAAGCAAAAAAAAAAGAAAACAAAAAUUUUCAAAAUUCAAGGGAACGCGGUUUGCACGUUCCCAUGUCAAGGUUGGGUGCAUGUGUUUGCAUUUUUGUCUUUUUUUGUGAGCAGAUCUGCUGGUGUUUGCCAGGUCCUAUUUUCCUUAUGAUGGCCUAGCUUGUAAUGUUCCUUUGUCAUCCUCUGUUUAACUUAAGAAUCCUUAAUUUCAUUAAUGAUUUUUGUAAUUGCAGGUUAUUGACUUCCAUCAGACUGUGGAUGUUAAUGGCAUUAAAUUUUGGUGCUACACUGCUGGCCAUGUCCUUGGUGCUGCCAUGUUCAUGGUAGAUAUUGCCGGUGUUCGAGUGCUCUAUACUGGAGACUAUUCACGUGAAGAAGAUCGGCAUCUUUGUGCUGCUGAGAUGCCACAAUUCUCUCCUGACAUAUGCAUAAUUGAAUCUACCUAUGGUGUCCAACUCCAUCAACCUCGACACCUUAGGGAGAAGCGCUUCACUGAUGUUAUCCAUUCCACCAUCUCUCUAGGCGGUCGUGUUCUAAUUCCAGCAUUUGCCCUCGGCCGAGCUCAAGAACUCCUUUUGAUCCUUGAUGAGUAUUGGUCAAACCAUCCUGAGCUUCAUAACAUUCCCAUAUAUUAUGCUUCUCCCCUUGCGAAAAAGUGUAUGACUGUUUACCAGACAUACAUCCUUUCUAUGAAUGAAAGGAUCCGCAAUCAGUUUGCGAAUUCAAACCCCUUCAAAUUCAAGCAUAUAUCACCGUUGAAUAGCAUUGAAGAUUUUACUGAUGUAGGGCCAUCUGUGGUUAUGGCAAGUCCUAGUGGACUUCAGAGCGGUUUGUCAAGGCAGUUGUUUGAUAUGUGGUGCUCUGAUAAGAAAAAUGCUUGUGUUAUACCUGGAUAUGUUGUUGAAGGGACCCUAGCUAAGACAAUCAUUAAUGAACCAAAGGAGGUACAGCUCAUGAAUGGACUGACUGCACCACUCAACAUGCAGGUCCAUUACAUCUCAUUCUCUGCACAUGCAGAUUAUGCUCAGACAAGUACAUUUUUGAAAGAGCUCAUGCCUCCUAACAUUAUUCUAGUUCAUGGAGAAGCCAAUGAAAUGGGAAGGCUCAAACAGAAACUUAUCACACAGUUUACUGACGGCAACACCAAGAUAAUCACCCCAAAGAAUUGUCAGUCUGUUGAGAUAUAUUUCAACUCUGAAAAAAUGGCAAAAACCAUUGGAAAGCUGGCUGAAAGGACCUCGAAUGUUGGUGAAACUGUCAGUGGUAUACUGGUGAAGAAGGGCUUCACUUAUCAAAUCAUGGCACCUGGAGAUCUCCAUGUCUUCUCACAACUAUCAACUGGAAAUAUUACUCAGAGGAUUACCAUUCCUUUUUCUGGUGCAUUUGGUGUGAUAAAGCACAGGCUUGAGCAGAUUUAUGAGAGUGUGGAGUCUGGAACUUA